rnacentral:lncRNA from 1 species
CUGAUUAAAACUUAAGAGUUAAAGCAUGCUGAUUUAUCACAUAUUUUCAGAUAAGAUGUCCGAAUUAGACCUUCCUGCUGGUUGUAAUUAAUAAAGAAAGGUGCAUCUAUAACUUUUAUCCUAAGGUUUUCCAAAGGGUUAGACAAAACCUAUAGGCAUGAUAUCUAAUGAUUUCAGAAGCAAAGAAGUAAAUUGAUUACAGAUUGAUUUAGGAAAGUUACCGGUUUUAGAAGAAGAGUAUAAGUUCUGCAAUUGAUAAUGCAUUUCUAUUGAUAAUUUUAAACUGACAAACGAGUGAGGCAAUUCCAAUUUGAUUAGAAUCCCUAUAGGCAUGCUUUCUAUGUGUUUGUCAACUUUAAACACUGUUAUGGACAUUGAGCAAUGCAGAAAUCCUACAAAAUAUUAUCUAGGUGUUGCAUUUCAAUUACGAACAUGUUAUCUGAUUACAUGAUUAGUAAGGCUUAUAAACAUAUUUGGAUAAUGAGAGAUGAGUAUGCAAGAAUCAGAAAGGACCUAUAGGCAUAUUUCUACAUGCAUGUGCACUCUAUAGACAUGGUAUCUAUAUAAGAGUAAUGAAAUUCCUAUAGACAUGUUAUCUAAAUGAAGGUGCAGAAGUUCUUAUAGUCAUGAUAUCUAUAUGUGAAAGUGCAUAAUUCCUAUAGGCGGGAUGCCUAUAUGAACGCAGAAUGUCAGAAACUUAUAGGCAGGAUAUCUAUACGGAUGUAGAAUUUCAGAAGCGUAUAGACAAGAUAUCUAUAUGGAUGCAGAAUUUCAAAAGCCUAUAUGUAUGAUAUCUACCCUUUGCAUACAUGGUUACCCUCCCUUUUUCACUAACCAUCCCCAAUAGUUAUUACAACCCAGAAUAAAUGUAAGAAAGGAAAAAAUACAUCAGAAAUUAAAAGUAUAGAAUGUCAGAAUUAUGAGAUGAACCAAAUUCAAAAGAUCAUGAUACAAAGCCUCUCUCUCAUUUGGAUGUGUCAGAGUUCCUUAAGAGCCUCAUAUGCACUCCGGGCAGUGCUCAUACCUAAAUGCAUAACCAAAUUAAGACAUAUUGCAAUGUGGAAGGGCCAUAUCUCAAGUGUCCAAGUUCAUAGGAAACUCAAGGUCCCAAGGCAAGGCUCACAGGAGGGGGGCAGGACUUAGAGACUAUGAGAGAGUGUAAGUGCAGAGUUCUGAAAAGGGGAAAGGGAAAAUGGGGAUAACUUAAAAUCAGCACACAUAAGGGUAUAGGGGAGUAGGGAAUUUGCAAGAGGCACAAGAAAAGCAGGCUGAUGGGCACACCCAGCAAUGGGAGAUGCUAGCACACCCUCCAGCCUAUUUAUAUAGAGGUUAAGACCCCAUUGGUUCAAACUUAAUUCAUGGACAACAACUUAUAUUGCCAUGCCUUAUGUCAUAACUCACAAACACAUAGAGGUAAUAGGGGUAGGGGAGCAAAGAUUUUUCAUAGAAACAUGCAGUAGAACAUAGGCAUACCAAGUUAACUAUUGAACUCUACAGAAAACAGUAAAGUAGACAGGGAUAUAAAGACUGUAAGUAAACACAUUGGGGUGACGCUGAAACUUAAAUUAGGACAUACCAGUUUUAAAGAAACAAGUAAAGUGAAAAUAGUAGCCUUGUAAAAGCCAUAGUGUAGCCAAGAAGCAAGAAUACUAUUAUAUGUGAGUGACUUCAGAAGAGGUUUUGAAUUGUGAAUUGUGUAAUAAGGUGUCAAAGGGUCGUUCCUUUUAUAGUGUAGAAAGCAGGCAGAAAUAAGGUAAGAAAAUAGUCUGAAAACUGAUUGUUAAUCAAUUAUACAAAACAUCCCUCAAUUAAGGGAUUUAGAUCCAAAUGGGUAUAAACCAAUUAAGGAAGGAAAUUAAUCAAACCUUUGUGCAAAGUAGGAAAUUAGGGGUAAAUACAUAAAAGUUAUUUAAGGAAAAGGUUCUGACAAUAAACGAUUUGUGCAAAUAAGGUAAGCGAAUCAAUUAACAGCCGGUAAAUCACAAGGUUUGAGAUUUGGUAUGAAUGAACCAAGUCAGAAAAGAUGAAGAAGGGUUUUACUUAGGUCGAGUCACAAAGGAAAUCAGUAAACGAUGGAAAGAAAUCAAUCAAGAAAUAUUUGAAAGGUAGUCUGCACUAAUUGCAAAUUUGAAAACCAUUUAGAGGGAAAUUCAUCAUAUAUAAGGAGCAUGUGAGCAUGAAAGAAGACUGUCGUGUAAAUUUGUAGAAAAAAUCUAGUGUAGAAGAGUUUAGGAAAAAGUUCAAAAUUGUAUGGAAACAAAGAUGUCCAAACUAGGUUCAGAUACUCAAAGUCAGUCUGAAAGAGUUAAGGGUUCUUAAAUAAAACCCUAGUUCGAGCAAAUCAUAAAGCAAAGAUGAGAGGGCAAGCGGUUGAAUUGGAACAUGUUUAGAGGUUUCAGAAAAGAACUGAAACUGCUAACAUGCUUCUUGCAACAGAACUCAUGAAUAACAUGUACAUACAGUAGAAGGGUUCAAAGCAAACAGAGUAAAGAAACUAUUAAUUCGAAGCAUGAUGAGAAAAGACUGAUAAGAGCAGUAGAAGAAACAUGCAUAAGAAGAUCCUUUUAAGAUUUAAACAAGGUUCAGUAGAAGAAAAUAGUAAGAACACGAUAGACGAAUACAGUAGCCGAAAUAUACCAGAACAUGGUAGAAGCAAAUAGCAGAACAUAAUAGAAAAGCAUAGUAUAGAAAAUGCAGUAAAAGAACAUACAAGAACGGAAUAUAGAAAGCACAGUAGAAGAACGUACGUGGUUGAAGGAAAACAUAAGAAUACAGUAAAAACAAAUACACACAAAAGAAAAGGAAAAGAAAGUCAGAGAAACACUUCGACAUUUUUAGAAAACCCUAAAUCGUAAAAGAAAGGCUUUGAAAAGUAAUUUUUGAAAGAAAAAUUAGGGAAAUCGUUUGAAAACUCAAAUGGAGCAUAGAUACACAAUAAGUCUAAAAAUCGGAGAAAACCUCGAAGGGUUAGGGUUUUAGAAGAACCCUAGAAAUGACAAAGGCUUUGAAAAGGUCACUGAUCUAAGUCGGAGAACUCAGAAUUAGGCUCAAAAUAUGGUAUGCUGGAGCAAGGCCAGAGAUGGACAUGGAAUUUUGAAUCGGCAGAGGUCUGGCUGAAAACCUUCAAGGUCGGGCCUCGAAUCUUUAGGUAUCAGGCACGUAGGAGCAAGAGGAGGUGAGUAUAAGACUCCCAUGGCUUGGGAAGCCAUGAAUUUCGGUGAGUUUCAUGGUGGAAAAUAAUAAGAGGCAGCUAGGUUUAGAAAAGGUUCGAGAGUGUUUGAGAGAGAGGGGGGUUUCAGAGGCGGCGUGUAAAUGAAAAUGGCUUUUAGAGUUGGGGUGUUGGUGGAUUAAAAAAGGAAAGGGGUGAUUGUGGACGUUGAUCAUUUUGAUCAACAGUCUGGAUCAAAAGGGGAGCCGGGCGGGGUGGAUUAAUUGGAUCAACGGGCGGGUUUAAAUUGAAACUGGGCUGGGCAAAUUGAAAUUGAAAUUGGGUUAAUUCGGGGGGCAUAUUUUAGGCUAAAAUAAAAAUAGUUAGGGCUAAAUUUUAAAUAGCCAAUUUUUUCCUUUUAUUUUAUAAAAAAUAGUAAAAUGAUUUCUCAACAAUAAAUGAAAGAUAAUAAAUUAAUCAAUAAUAUAUAAAUAUAUACUAAAAAUAUUGGAAUUGAUUUUGUAAUUAUAAACGCAAUUAAAUCUUAAAACAGGUAAAAACUGCAAUUAAGUGUAAUUUAGCUUAAAAUGACAAAUAAAUUUAUAAAAAUGUGUAAAAAUUACCUUAGCUUGGUAUAAAUAUGAGAAUAAAAUAAAUUUAUUACCAAAAUGAUAAUUUUGGGAAUAAUUAUUGGUUUUUGUACUACUAAAAUAGGAUAAUAAAUUGAUUUAAAAAUUAGGAAAAAUUCUAAAAUAAUUAGACACACUUAUAUAUGCAUACGUAUACUAUUUUAAAAUUAUUUUGCAUAUAAAAAAUAUACAAUAAAAAAUUGGGCAUCAACAAUAGGUGCCUUAGCAAUAGAAACUGAAUCACGAUCAACUAAGCUCUCUCAUUGAACUAAGAAUCUAUCUUCUAAGCUUUGUCAAUAUCUUGAAUAUUUUGGUCUUCAAAGAAUAUUUCAUCAUGACUUCUAAUAAGUUUAUUGUCAACUGGAUCGUAUAAACAAUACCCAAACUUAUCUUAGCCAUAACCGAUAAAGAUACACUACUUAGUUUUUACAUCCAGUUUUGAUCUCUCACCUUUAGGAACAUGCACACAAGCUUUACACCCAAAAACUCUCAGGUGAUCAUAAGAAACAUCUUUUGCAAACUAAACUAUGUCUAGGACAUCACCAUCCAAAGCAACAGUAGGAGACAAAUUGAUAACAUAGGAACCAGUGUUAAGUGCUUCUGCCCAAAAUGUAUUUGGAAGUUUAGCUUCUGAAAGCAGACAUCUAACUCUCUCAACUAGAGUUCUAUUCAUCCUCUCUGCCAAACCAUUCAAUUGAAGCUUCUUGGGCAGAGUUUUCUGAUGACGAAUUCCUUGUUCCUUGCAAUAGUUAUCAAAGGGACAACAAUAUUCACCACCAUUGUCAGUGCGAAUACAUUUUAAUUUCGUCCCUGUCUAUCUCACAGCUAAGGCCUGCAAUUCCUUAAACACGCCAAGUGCUUGUGUUAAGAUUUCAAAGGAUACACCCAAAGAUUACGAGAAUGAUCAUCAAUGAAGGUCACAAAGUAAAGUGCACCACCUUUUGAAUUUACUUUAAAAGGACCACACAAAUUAGAGUGUACUAACUCCAAUAAUUCGAGAUUUCUUGAAGGAGGAUGGCUAUGAAAGGAAACCCUUUUCUGUUUGCCAACUAAACAUUGGAUACAUCUGGUCAGUUUUGCUUUUUUAACUCCAAAAGCAAACUUUUCUUAUCCAAACACGUAAUCCCCAUCUCGCUCAUAUGACUCAAUCUUCUAUGCCAUAAUUCUGAUAAAGUAUAACUUUUCACCAUAUUUAUUGAGUAAUUAAGAAUAGAGCCCUGUGUCACAUAUAAUUUACCAGACUUGACUCUUCGAUCCACUACUAACGAGCCCUUAGUGAGCUUCCAUUGGCCAUUAAAGAAGGCAUUAUGGUAACCUCAUCGUCUAAUCUUCCUGCGUAGAUCAAAUUGAAAGGAAUGUCUGGAGCAUGCUUGACAUCUUGAAGAACUAACGUUGAACCAUUAUUAGUUUUCAAACAAACUGUGCCAACACUAGACACCUUAACUUCAUUGGCAUUGUCCAUCUUUAACACUCCAAAAUCAACAGGAGUGUAAGAUGAGAAAAAGUUUUUUCUUGGUAUGACAUGUGAGGUAGCUCCAGAAUCUACUAUCCAACUUGUCGCAUGGGAUACCAAAUUGAUGAUGUUUUCAUCAUAAGCAAAAAGAAGGUCAUCUCGAACAAUAGAAGUGCCAUUAUUCCCAUUAUUUUCAGCUUUCUUUCCUUCUCUAUGUCUUGAUUCAACUUGCAGAACCUUUUUAUGUGUCCUUUCUUGACACAGUGAUUUUAUGUAAUAUUAUAGUAUAUGGACCUUGACUUACUUCUACUUUUACCUCUAUUCCUUGAGCCCCUUGUUCUAUCUCUCCCCAGUCUUUAAUAACCAAGAUAUCUAUUUGUGAGGACAACGUUGAGAUUUUCUUCUUACUUCCUCAUUCAAUACACCACUCUUGGCAUAUUCCAUGGUCACCUUACCUCCAGGAGCUAAAUUUUUCAAAGAAACCUGAAGAGUUCCCAAGAAUCUGGUAAAGUAUUAAGAAGCCAAAGCCCUUGUAUCUCAUCAUAAAAUUAACUCCCAUUCAGAACAGCUGAUCAAGGAUACCCUGAAAAUUAUUUAUAUGAUCAAGAAUAUAGCCGUCUUCCUUGUAUUUAAAGGUCAUCAAUUGCUUAAGUAGGAACAACUUGUAGUUCCUUGUUUUUGAAGCAUAAAGAGUCUCUAGCUUUUCCCACAAAGAUCUCACAUAUGUCUCAUUCACAAUAUGGUAAUGAACAUUAUCUUCAACCUAUUUUCCUAUAUAUCCAAAUACUUGUUGGUGCUCGAAAUUCCAAUCUUCAUCAGAUACACUCUCGGGUUUAUGAGCUGCAAAAACGGGAUGAACCUUCCAAGAUGAACCUUUAUUGAACCUCGCUUUGAUACAACUUGUUAGGAUCGUACAAAACAUUGAGAGAACAACCUCACAAAGAGGCAAAUACAGGUGACACACUAACACUUGUCCUGUAAAGUUCUCCCCUUAAACAAGACUCUCAAGCCCCAUAUGACUACAAUGUUAACACUAAUGAAUGAGAAGGAAGGACCCUCGAUUUAUGGAACUCCAAACCUUUUCCUACAAGAAAAAGGACUAACCAAAAAUGAGAGAUUUGUAAUUUCCUUCCACAAGAAGGAAUAUCCAAUUAAGGUAAACGUGUUACCCUUUCCUUCAACAAAUAGGAAAACCAGAUAUGGUAAGAAAAUUAUGAAAAACACCUAACACUAUAACAUUUCUCAUUCAUAUAGUAAACUCGCACUCAAAUAGGACAGUUUAACAUAAACUUUGUCUAUUAAGCUAGGUGGCCGGAAUAUUUUUUGUUAGGUUAUAUCUACCAUUUUAUGCCAGAAUAAAAGGUUCCAACGAGCUCGUUGCUCAUACUUUGCUUUAAAGGCACCACUUCUACGAAUAAAAGAAAUAUGAUUAACCGAAUGGAUCAGUAAUUAUUGUUAUGCAAAAUCACAAUCAUAUCUUAACUAUGCACUAUAUAAAACCACCCUACCUCACUGGUGUAGCUACAUGCUAAAAUAGAAUGGCCAAGUGAACACUUUUUAUCAAAAAAUUAUAUUGUGCACAUAAAUCAGAUAUCACUUUAUAUAAUUUAAUAUUACAUUUUUAACAUCCUUAAAAUAAGUAAGAGAACCAGGUGUAUCCAAAGUAAGGUGAAGCUAUGGGUUUGAAUACCUGGUAAAACAUUUAUACUUGUUUUCUGAAGCUAAACAGUGACCACAUUAGUCUACUUGAUCUCUUUUAUAAUUUUAAAAAAUUCUUCAUAAAUAACUAUGAUGACCCAAAAGAUUAUCUCAUGUUUUAGAACCCAAUUCGGGAUUCUAAGGCCUUCAAAACCUUAUCUUACUUCUUUUCGAUUUUCGUGCGCAAUUCGGACGCGUUUGUAGAAAGCCUUUAUGUGAAAAUAAUAAUUUUUCCCAGUAAAAGUGAUUUUAGUUGACUUCGGCCAACAUUUCGAGUAAACAGGGAGUCGUAUUUGACAGUCUCAGAUGGUCCGUAGUAAAAUAUAGGAUUUGGACAUAUGUCCGGAAUUUAAUUCCAAAGUCUGUAGCCCGAGAAAUAAAUUUUUGAUGAAAAAUGUUAAACUGAAAUUAUAAUGAUUUUGAGAAAAUGGUUAAUAGUUGAUCUCAUUGGUACUGGGUCUGUAUUUCUAUUAUGGAGCUCGGUAUAGGUUUAUUAUGCUAUUUGUACCCUAUCUUUGAAAUUUGGUGAAGAAUGGGACUGAUUUGACGUGAUUCAGACCUUCGGUUGAGAAAAUAGAAUACUUGAGACUCUUUUGAAUUUUCAUGCAAUUUGAUGCUAAAUUCGUAGCUAUAGAUGUUAUAUUGGCGAUUUGAUCAUGCGAGCAAGUCCAUAUUAUGUUUUAAGACAUGUGUGCAUGAUUGGCUUGGAGCCCCGGAGGCUCGGGUGAGUUUUGGACAGGCUACAGAGUGAUUUCUGAGCUUCUUAUCGCAAAUGCGAAGAGAAGCUGGGCCAUCCCAUGUUCGCAAAUGCGAACAACCCUUCACAUUUGCAAAGUGAGUUUGGGGGAGGGACCUUGGCAUUUGCGACCAAUGGUUUGCAUUUGCGACAACAGCAGAAAAUGCGAUAGGUUCGCAUUUGUGAUGCCUUUCUCGCAUUUAUGAUCUUUAUAAAUGUGAAGCUCAGUUUGCAAAUGUGACAUCUGUAGCUGAUAAUGUUUGGACUUAGAUGAGAUUUUUCAUUCAUUCUCCCAUUUUUCAAAACCUAAACUUCAAGAGGCCAUUUUCCAAAGGUUAGUUCUUCCCCAAACCAUAGGUAAAUGAUUCAUAACCCAUUUCUUUCACUCUAUUACAUAUUUUUUACAAGAUUUCAUCCUAGAAUCUAGGGUUUUCAUGGUGGAAUUGGGUGUUUUUUGGUAGAACUUAAGAAUUUCGAAAUUUUAGAAUUUAGACCUCAAAUUAAGGUCAGAUUCCAUAACCAAUUGUGUACCGAGGCUUGGGGAUGAAUGGGUAAUCAGAUUUUGGUCCGAACUCAUAAAAUUUGUGUAAAAAUAAACAAGUGUCGCGAUCCGGAAUUCCCACCCACGGGAUCUUGAUGGCGCCUAACAUUUUACUUGCUAGGCAAUUGAACGUUAGAUUUAGUUAUUAGCGAUUUUUAACUAUUCAAAUCAAAUGAAAAAUCAAUAAGCCGAAUAAAUUGAAAUAGAGUAAAUAAACUUAAACGACGAUAUCCAAGUAUAAUCCCAGAACUGAUGUCACAAAUACACGAGCGUCUAUAGUACUACAAAUAGUAGUUUAAAUAAAAGCAUAACUGUCUAAAUCGAAAUAAACAGCUAAAGUAAUGUAGAAGGGGACUUCAGGGUUGCGAACGUUGUACCUCAAAUCUCCGUCAAGCACUAGAUCCGAGCAAUCUACUAAAUGCCGCUAGGAGAACCUCCAAAAUCUGCACACGAAUUUCAGAGUAUAAUAUGAGUACAACCGACCACAUGUACUUUAUAAGUGUUGAACCUAACAUCAAUGAAGUAGUGACGAGGCACUAUUACAAAAAUAUUAAUUAGUGACUGAAAUUUCUGACUGAAAAUAAAGUAGUCGCUAAUGGGACUACUUUUGUGACCACUGUAGUCGGAAACGGAUCUGAAUUUUUAUUACCUUUUCUGAAAAAAAUUAGAAGUGUAAAAGUAGCGCGCUAAUUUCCCGCCUCCACUUUUGCAACCGACUUGGUCAGAGAAUAAAAAGUCAAAAAUAUCAGUUGACCAAAAAAGCUACUGCGUCGGUCGCUAAGUUAAAAUUAAAAUGGUAAAAGAAUAUUUAAGCGGGUUUGAGACCACGGUAGUCACAAAUCUAAAAUCUAAUAUUUCAGCCCAAAAACCUAUUUCCCCAAUUUGUGCGCGCCCUAUUUCCUUAAUUUCCCUUCUCUCUCUCUUUCGUUGCAUCUCAACAAACUGGCGGAAACUGAGCAAAAGAGUAUAGCAGAGGACUGCGACUUCUACUCCUUCAUAAUCAGUCUUUUGAGGUUCCAAGGUGCAUUUUCAUUCUCCGCAAUUGCUUACAGAUGGGGGUCGAUGCUUUCAAGGCCCAUAAAUCCCCUUUGGUUGUCGUUGAACUCGUUGUAUGCAUACCAAUUUUACCUUACAAUAACACUCUUUAUCUCUUUUUCUACCGUUAUUUCAGUUUCUGCUAAGAAUGUGGAUGUCGCUUGUUUUAAUUGGUUGUAGUUAUGUCGUCAGUGUACCUGCCUUCUUGCUAGCGAUUAUGCAUAUGUGUGAUUUCUGAUGCGAGGUUUAGGAUUAAGCAAAGGCUAAAUCCUUAUAUAUCUUCUAAAAGCUAUUAAGUGAUAAUCCUAGGUUUCCGUAAUGAUAUUUCUUUGUCGUCAAUAAUUACUUGAAAGAAGGGCCUUGAAUAAAAUUUACAUCACAAAAAGAAGAGGAGUAGGUAGAACACUUUUUUUCUUGUUCAAAUUAAAAAGGGGGAAAGAAAAUAGAAUAAAUAUACUCCUCAAAGCUUUUCUGGACUAAAGAAAACCUACUACUUACAGGUGAGAGGUUGAAAAAUAUAGUUGUGUCGUCAGCGUGCAAUUAUUUUUGAACAUAGAUAAGUAGACAAGUGGUGCAGUUGCAUCUAUAUUUAGCGAACUAAUACAAACUGUUUGCCAUUGGGCUUUCAUUCAAAGUCUCAGUGAAUACUUCUGAAUCAAUAUCCCUGUAAAGUAGGUUUGAAUCCAGCAUUUGAACCUUAAAUUAUACCCUUUAUGGGUAAGGUGGGCAAGUGGUGUUAGGAUUAUGAUUCCUACUAAAAAACAACAACCUUCAUAUUGAAUAAUUCGGAUAUAUANNNNNNNNNNNNNNNNNNNNNNNNNNNNNNNNNNNNNNNNNNNNNNNNNNNNNNNNNNNNNNNNNNNNNNNNNNNNNNNNNNNNNNNNNNNNNNNNNNNNNNNNNNNNNNNNNNNNNNNNNNNNNNNNNNNNNNNNNNNNNNNNNNNNNNNNNNNNNNNNNNNNNNNNNNNNNNNNNNNNNNNNNNNNNNNNNNNNNNNNNNNNNNNNNNNNNNNNNNNNNNNNNNNNNNNNNNNNNNNNNNNNNNNNNNNNNNNNNNNNNNNNNNNNNNNNNNNNNNNNNNNNNNNNNNNNNNNNNNNNNNNNNNNNNNNNNNNNNNNNNNNNNNNNNNNNNNNNNNNNNNNNNNNNNNNNNNNNNNNNNNNNNNNNNNNNNNNNNNNNNNNNNNNNNNNNNNNNNNNNNNNNNNNNNNNNNNNNNNNNNNNNNNNNNNNNNNNNNNNNNNNNNNNNNNNNNNNNNNNNNNNNNNNNNNNNNNNNNNNNNNNNNNNNNNNNNNNNNNNNNNNNNNNNNNNNNNNNNNNNNNNNNNNNNNNNNNNNNNNNNNNNNNNNNNNNNNNNNNNNNNNNNNNNNNNNNNNNNNNNNNNNNNNNNNNNNNNNNNNNNNNNNNNNNNNNNNNNNNNNNNNNNNNNNNNNNNNNNNNNNNNNNNNNNNNNNNNNNNNNNNNNNNNNNNNNNNNNNNNNNNNNNNNNNNNNNNNNNNNNNNNNNNNNNNNNNNNNNNNNNNNNNNNNNNNNNNNNNNNNNNNNNNNNNNNNNNNNNNNNNNNNNNNNNNNNNNNNNNNNNNNNNNNNNNNNNNNNNNNNNNAGAUAGCACAUAACAUAUAAUUAUCCAUAUAUUGUUCAUAUGUGUGUAGAUAUAAGUCCAUAUAUCUAGAUAUAAAUCCAUAUAUCUUACAAGUGGGACAUGGAUUUAAUUAAAAAAUCGAAAAGUAGUUAGUUGUUGCACUUCUCGUUCAUUGGUUCGUGGUCUUUGAUAUCUCAAUUCAUCUGCUUCAAGAAUACUUGCCUGCACUCAUCUUGUCAUCAUGACACCAUUACUUCAAGAAAUCACACAUAUUUGUUCAGUUUCUCAUCAAGAUUUGUUCUUUGCUCUGUUUAGUGAUGGAUAUCAGUUGUUAUAUUCUUGCUAGUAAUUAUGCAUCUGUUCAGUUCCUUAUCAUCUAAAUAAUGUAUGUGUAUUCCUUGUCUUGCUGCAUUUGUUUUGCUCUCUGUUUACUGGCUAAUAUACACUAUGACAUCUCCAAUUUUAAGUGGCAAAAUUAGGUUCAAUGAUUCAAUGACAAAGAAGAAUAGAAAAAAGUAGGUCUACUGUAAAUUGGCCAUAGACGACCGAUAAAUGGAAUCUAAUAUUGGAAAAUAGCUCAUAUUCCUAACAUCACAUUCUCAUGAAUAAUGAAUUUCAGCUCUUUCUUGACCUUUACCUGUUUAGCUAACAUUACUCACAGUAAUAAUGUCAAGGUUUUUUGUACUUUGGGUUUUCAUGAUGCAAACUCCUACUUUCGUACCCGUGAAUCCAGCUGCACAUUUAGUCUCUGAUUUUCUGGCAAUUGCACAUGUUGUUUCGCAAAACAAGUUAAAUAGCAUUUUAUAAGUAAAUUGUUUGGCAUCAUACUAAGUAAUAUAUAUUGUUUUAAAUAUCUUGGAUUUAUUUGUGUAGAUGGAGCUUGCAUAUCGUAGAUGGAUGUAUAAUCGAACUUAUCCUAAUCGUGGUGGAUUGAGGGAGGAAUUUAUAGAAGGGGUUGCUGAAUUUGUGGCUAAAGCGAAAAUAUUUCAUGAAUUUCUCAGUGAAGGGAUGAUUAGGUGCCCUUGUGUCAAUUGCAAGGGUACAACGUUAUUACCGCCAGAUGUUGUUAAAGUUUAUCUUUAUAUAAACGGAUUAAGGAAAAUUAUUACGUGUGGACUAUUCAUGGAGAGGAUGUUGCUAGUGUUGAUAACGUUGAUUUUCAAAACUUUUUUGGUAACGAGGGUAGCCCAUUAGCAGAGAAUAAUACUGAUAAUUCUCGAUUCAGUGAAAUGGUUGGGGAUGCUUUUGUGAUGCACCCGGAGCCUCAAUCUGAACCAAAUGAUGAUGCUAAGCGCUUCUAUGAACAAUUACAGGAAGCAAGUCGUCCAUUGUAUGAUGGCUCAAUGCAUUCUAAGCUAUCUAGCGCAGUUAGAUUAUUAAGUAUUAAAUCGGAUUCAAGUAUUUCACAAGCGGGCAUGGACUCUAUCAUUGGCCUUAUGAAUGAACUUAAUCCGAAUAAAAUUGACCUAGCCAAAUAUUUCUACACAGCAAAGAAAUUGGUUUCUAAGUUAGGACUUUCAUCAGAGAGGAUUGACUGUUGUGAGAAAGGUUGCAUGUUAUUCUAUAAUGAAGAUGCAACCUUAGAAAAUUGCAAAUUUUGUAACCAACCUCGUUACAAAAAAAAUCAUAAAUUCAAAAAGCAAGAAGGUUCCAGUUAAGGCGAUGCAUUACUUACCCCUUAUACCUAGGUUAAAGAGGUUGUAUGCAUCAAUGAGCUCUGCGCCUCAUAUGAAAUGGCACUAUGAAAAUAAAAGGCCACCUGGUAUUCUGUGUCAUCCGUCAGAUGGAGAAGCAUGGAAGCAUUUUGAUCGGGUAUUUCCGGAUUUUGCUAGUGAACCAAGAAACAUUAGGUUGGGUUUAUGUGCAGACGAAUUUACUCCCUUUUCCGCCUCUGUUGCACCAUAUUCAUGUUGGCCAGUGUUUGUUACGCCGUAUGAUCUUCCUCCUGAGCUAUGUAUGAUAAGUCCAUAUUUGUCCCUAACUUGCAUGUUCCAGGUUCGCGCAAUCCGAAAAGUUUGAUUGAUGUAUACAUGCAACCUUUAAUGGACAAGUUAAAGUUAUUGUGGCAUGAAGGUGUGGAAACAUAUGAUAUAUCACCUAAACAAAACAUCAAAUUGUGUGCUUCUUUGAUGUGGACUAUAAAUAAUUUUCCUGCUUAUGAAAUGUUGUUCGGGUAGUCGACUUAAGGAAAGUCUGCUUGCCCAACUUGUAUGGAAGAUACAAAAGCAUUUACGUUGAAAUAUGGAGGAAAGAAUACAUGGUUUGACAGCCAUCAUCGAUUCUUGCCUAUAGAUCACGAGUUUAGGAGAAAUACUAGUGCAUUUAUGAAGAACCAAACUGAUUUUGAGAAGCCAACGUCACCAUUAUCUCCAGAAGAAAUUUGGAACAGAGUUAAGUUUCUACCAAAGGUAACAUAGUCUCCAAUGUCUAAUAAGAUACCUGGUUAUGGUGUUAUGCACAAGUGGACAAACAUAGCAUAUUUUGGGAGUUGUCUUAUUGGAAGCAUAAUCUUCUUCAGCAUAAUUUGGAUGUCAUGCUGAAAAACUUUUUUGACAACUUGUUUACUACAAUAAUGGAUGUCAAUAACAAGACAAAAGAUAACUUGAAGGCUAGGAUGGACUUAAAGAAAUAUUGUAGGCGAAGUGAGCUAUACCUAACAUACUUGAACAACAAGAUUCAGAAGCCCAAGGCCAGUUACACAUUCACCUUGGAUGAGAGAAGAGAAAUUUGUGAUUGGGUUAAGAAUUUGAGGAUGUCUGAUGGAUAUGCAUCAAACUUAUCCAGGUGUUUUGACAUGAAAGAAGGGAAGUUGAUGUAUAUGAAGAGACAUGAUUGUCACACUUUCCUCGAAUCUUUGAUGCAUAUUGGAUCAAAGCCUUGCAUGAUAGAAUAUGGAAACCCAUUACUGAGAUAAGUUUAUUUUUUAAGGAGUUGUGUUCUAGCACAUCAAAGGUGGAGAACUUAGCUUACAUGGAGAGUAACAUUUGCUUAAAUUUAAACAAGCUGGCAAAAAAAUUUCCUCUUGGAUUUUUUGAUGUAUGGAAAAUCUUCCAAUUCAUCCUGCAUAAGAGGCACAACUUGGAGGCCUGUGCAAUGUAGAUGGAUGUAUCCUUACGAGAGGUAAUGACUUUAAAUUAUUUUUCCUUGACUUGUUUUAAUUAAGUAUUAUUUCAUCUAAACAUUGUGCUACGUAGAACUAUAGGAAAAUGUAAGCAGACCGUAAAAAAUCGAUCCAGGAUUGCGGGAACAAUAUGCGAGGCACAUCUAGCUAAAGAAACUUCUUUUUUCUGUUCAUAUUAUUCUGAACAUGAUGUGCCAUGUUUGAGAAAUAGGCCAAAGCGACAUGAUGAUGGAGGUGUUAAUGAUCCUUUGACACCACCAUUUUCCAUAUUCAAUCAUCCAGGUAGAGGUCCUAAAACUAGUAAAAAGAAAAUUUUGACUGUAAUGGAGAAAAAUUCCGCUACGACACAUGUAUUGUUGAAUUGUCCAUAGGUCCAAUGUUAUUAUAAGUAAGUCUUAAAUUAUACUAAAGGAGAUUAUUACAAGAUCAAAGUUAUUUUAACUAAUGAAAUUUAUAGUUUUUUCCGGUAGUUACUUUAUAGCUGUAAAAGGGCAUGAUGCUAUUUAUCCAAGAUUUUCAAAGUGGUUUACAGAGUUUGUAAGUUCUAUUUUGUGGCUACAAAUUAAGUACAUGUUUCUUUAAAAUUCUAACUUUUCUUUUACUUUAUAUAGGAUCAUAAUCCGGCGAAUGGAAUUAAUGACCCAUUUUGCGUGAUAUAGCUUGGGGACCUAACUAUAAUAAAGUCAGAAUGAUGUCUAAGUACUUUGUCAAUGGGUACAAGUUUCAUACAGAAGAAUGGUCUAACAAUAAGAAAACCAAUAAUAGUGGAGUGUGGGUAAAAGGUGAUGGAGAUGUUGAUUUUUAUGGUGUGCUUCAAGAGAUUUUAGAACUAGAGUAUUUCGGUUGGCCGAAAAAAAAAAUUGGUACUCUUUUGGUAGUAUGAUCCAACACCUACUAGAGGUACAAAAGUUCACCCUCAAUAUUAAAUAGUUAAAAUUAACCAUACGCAGGAGCGUCGAUUCUAUGAUCUAUUUAUCAUUGCACAAAAUGUGAAACAAGUGUAUUAUGUUCCUUAUCCUUUGUGCAAGAAUAAAUCCACAUGGCGGAUAAUAAAAACAAAGCCCGUUGGUAGAGUUGAAGUUGAGAAUGCAUUAGAAGUCGCGUACCAGAAUGAUAUUUCGAGUGUUCAAGAAAGUUUUGAUGAUGAAUUAGUGGGUGAAUUGACAAUAUUAAAGGCAUCUAUGAAUAAUAUGAUCCUUCAAUCCUUAUUCGUAGAGCAAAUCAACACGAUUUUGGGCAUCCCGUACAAACAUAGAGGAAAAUCCCGUCGAUGAAUAUGAAACAAGCAAGUAAGAAUCAUUUGAUGAAUAUGAAACAAGCGAUGAGGAAGAAUUCAAGUCUGAGAAUUCUGUAGGAGUAAUUUUAAUGAUGCAAAAACUACGUGUUCACAAAGUUGCUUUAGUGUUGAAUGCAGUGAUCAUUUUAUGGGAAAUAAUCUUUGUAACUUUCUUGGAGCCUUUUCAAAAGUUGAUACUUUAUCUGAAUGUCUUUUCUGUCUCCAUUUUAAUUUCAUGAAGCCUAUCAGCAAUGUUUUGAGGAAUGGCGUCAAAGUCAACCUGAUUCCGAGGAUGGUAGAUCAACCCAAGUGUCACUCAAUGAUGUAGCUUUAAUUUGGACGCAUGUGGUUGGUCGUGCAAAGAAAGAUAGAACCUACGGUCUUGGAUCACAAUAUUUGUAGGUUGUUCUAUGACAUUUGUUGUCUAGUGAUGCAAGUUAUUUGCAAGAUCACGAGGAAGUGGAAGCAUUACAAAAAUAAGUUGAAGAAUUGAAGGAGGAACGGAAAGAAGAUCAUGCAAAUUUUAACAAAUUGCAGAAACUAGUGGAGAAAUUUAUGAGCGGACAUCCAUUUGCUCAUUAUAAUGGCAGCGAUGAUGGGGAUAAUGAGUUUUAGUUUGUUAUGGUUAUUGAUAUUUGAGACAUUAUUCUUUGUUGUAGUUGGAUGUUUAGAUAUAUACACUUGACUAUGAUUGUAAUAUUUUAGACUAGAUUGAAUGGUGGCAGAAUGUUUAACUCUUUUUGGAUGUUUUAGUUACAAAUAUUGAUGUUUGCAUUUUAUGGGUUUGAUUAGUUACAAUGGUCAAUUGAUUGGUUAUUUGGUACAUUAAUUGGUUGUUGUAUAUUUGAAUUGGUAGGUGGUAUUGCUUUAAAAGAGCUGAAAUUUGGCAAAAAAUUGUCAGUUUUCCGACUUAUUUCCAACCAUAGUAGUCGCAAAAUGCAUCAAAAUAUUUCAGAUUCAGGAACAUCUGUGACUACUGUAGUCGGAAAUACAAAUAAAUAAAUAAACAGCUUUAAAUUACAUUUGCGACCACGGUAGUCAGAAUAAUAAAUAAAUAAAUAAUUCUAAAUCAAAUUUGCGACCAUACUAGUGGGAAAACUCAAAUAAAAUUAUAUAUACAUGUUUGUGACCAAAGUAGUGGGAAAAUUAACAUAAAAUUAAAAUUUAAUUUAACCUGUUUGCGACCGCGUCAGUCAGAAACUUACAGCAUUUAUUUAGUCGUUUUCUAUUUUUCCUUAGCGACCGCAGUAGUCGCAAAUUACAGACAGAUUUGGUCGCAAGACUAUUUCAGACCAGCUAUUUCGCGACUAUGACUUUUUGGUCUGAAAGUAGUCGGGAAACAACAUUUUCUGACCGCUUUUGCAGUCGUAAAAUAGCCAUUUUCUAGUAGUGAGGCUAAGACUGGUCACCUACAAUAACGUGUAUUAAUAAUAAUAAUAAUAAUAAUAAUAAUAAUAAUAAUAAUAAUAAUAAUAAUAAUAAUANNNNNNNNNNNNNNNNNNNNNNNNNNNNNNNNNNNNNNNNNNNNNNNNNNNNNNNNNNNNNNNNNNNNNNNNNNNNNNNNNNNNNNNNNNNNNNNNNNNNNNNNNNNNNNNNNNNNNNNNNNNNNNNNNNNNNNNNNNNNNNNNNNNNNNNNNNNNNNNNNNNNNNNNNNNNNNNNNNNNNNNNNNNNNNNNNNNNNNNNNNNNNNNNNNNNNNNNNNNNNNNNNNNNNNNNNNNNNNNNNNNNNNNNNNNNNNNNNNNNNNNNNNNNNNNNNNNNNNNNNNNNNNNNNNNNNNNNNNNNNNNNNNNNNNNNNNNNNNNNNNNNNNNNNNNNNNNNNNNNNNNNNNNNNNNNNNNNNNNNNNNNNNNNNNNNNNNNNNNNNNNNNNNNNNNNNNNNNNNNNNNNNNNNNNNNNNNNNNNNNNNNNNNNNNNNNNNNNNNNNNNNNNNNNNNNNNNNNNNNNNNNNNNNNNNNNNNNNNNNNNNNNNNNNNNNNNNAGAAGAAGAAGAAGAAGAAGAAGAAGAAGAAGAAGAAGAAGAAGAAGAAGAAGAAGAAGAAGAAGAAGAAGAAGAAGAAGGAGAAGGAGGAGGAAACAGAAAAUGAUGGUAAGGCAGUUAACUUAUGAAAACGAGAUCAAUCCUUGCAAUUAGAGAACCCUGAAAAACAUAUCUCAUAAUUUCAAAUAACAAAGCUGGAAACCAAUACAGUAAAAACAAUAUCAAGGCGCGCAACACGAUCCCACCUUACACACACAAUCCUCCGUUAAUCCACCAUAUAUCAUUUAUCAAUAUCAAGAAUCACAUAUAAAAUCUGUUGUGGUGCACAAUCCGAUCCUACCAUAUCAUCAGAAUCAAUAUCAUAAUCCUCUCUUAUUUUACCAUAUUAUAAUUUAUUAAUAACAAGUACUACGUGCUAAACUGUUGCGGCGCGCAACCCCAACCCACCAUAUCAUCAUAAUCAAUAUCAAAAUCUGCCCUUAUUCCACUAUACCACAAUCGUUACGGCGUGCAACCCGAUCCAUAAAGAAUUUCAAUAAAUGUAAUCAAUCAAUAGCUCAAUUACAAGAAUCUCUACUAUUAAAUAAUAUGAAAGCAAAGUAAUAAAGGAACCAUACACUAAUGAAAGGAGUGCUACAAAUAUGAAAGCAACAAGACAAGUCAAGUACGCGACAAUUAAGGUGUGCAAGUAAGAUAAUUAAGGCAAAUAAAAAUAAUUAUGGAAUAUGGAAGGGACGAACAAUUUAAUACAAGAAUAAUUAAUGAUAAGAACAAAUUAUGGCAUAGAAAGAAAUUAAAAAGCAUGUAACACUUAAGGCAUGGAAUGAAAUAAUUUAUGAAAUAUGAGAAAGCAUGGAAAUCAUUAUUUGAUGGUGUAUAUGCACCCUUCACCUUGCAUAUAUGUCGUUACACAUGUAAUUCACAUAACAUAUAGUUCAAGGGUUCCUAAUUCCCUUAUAUCAAGGCCAGACUCAACACUUACCUCGCUUUGAAACCAAAUCAAAGCUCAACCGGCACCUUUUCACUAAAAUCGUCUCCAAAAUUACCGAAUCUAACCAAAAUAGACUUAAUAUCAUCAAAAAAUGUUACGAAAAUCAAUUGCAAUUGAUAAACCUAAGCUCUUUACACUUUUCCCAAAAAGUCAAUAAAAGUCAACUCGGGCCUCCGCUCGGUCAAAACCCGAGUAUGGUAGAUUUCGACUAUUCAUGACCCCAUAAGUUCAUAUAUGUUGUUAGUUUCAAAAUUUGACUCCAAAUCCUUUCUCAAAAGUCAAUUUCUUAUUUUUCAAAAACUUGAUAAAAUUUCACAUGACUUUGAUGUUAAAAUCUAAGAUAAGUUGAUGGAAUAGGAUUAGAAAUGAAUUAGAAUCACUCACCCAAAGUUUGUAGAUGAAAUUUCCUCUUCAAAAUCGCCUCCUCCCGAAUAUAUGGUUCCAAAAUAUGAAAAUAAGGCUAAAAAUCUUGUCCCUCAGCUUUUUUCCAGUCGCAGAUGUUGCAAAUGCAACCUAGAUUUGCGAACCUUUCAAAUGCAAAGAAGUUGUUGAAAAUACGAACUCCCCACAUCUCUAUUGUCCUCCAGUUGCAAUGACUAGUUCGCAAAUGCGACCAUUGGAACUUCGCAAAAGCAAUGAAAUGAUCGCAAAUGCGAUCACUACUAAUCCUAUGCAACCUUCACAAUUUCGAAAACAAUGUUAACAAAUGUGACCAUAACAGACUAGACCCAAAUAUAGCAAACGCGACUUCCAAUCUUGCACUUGCGAGACCUUCAACAUCAGAACACACCAACAAUACCAAAACUCUUCCAAACAUUCUGAAACGCAUCUAAAACUCACCCGAGCCCUCCGAGCUCCAAAUCAAACAUCAACACAAGUCUAAAAAUAUCAUAUUUGUGUGCGUGAUCAAAAUACAAAAAUAACACCUAGAACUACGAAUCAGGCACCAAAAUAUAUAAAAUUUUAAAUAACUCAAGAACAUGCAAAUUUAUUACCGAACAUCCGAAUCACGUCAAAUCAACUCCGUUUUACACCAAAUUUUUUGCAGUUAUAUGAUAAUUAGUGACAUAUUCCGAAACUGAAAUUCGAACCUAGUAAAAACAGAGUCAACCUACGGUCAAAUUUAGGAAUUCUUUAAGCAUUCACAGUACUAGUUUUCAACAAAUCAUGUUAAGUCAAGUUUGGGACUUCCGAAUUUGAUUUCGGGCAUACACCCAAGUCUCGAAUCACGAUAUGGGCCUACCGGGACCGUCAAAAUACAUAUCUGAAUCCGUUUAUACAAACUGAUGACUAUAGUCAACUCAAAUGAGUUUUAAGGAAAAACUUCACAUUUUCUUAAAUAGCUUCACAUAAAAAAUAUUUAAGAAAAAAAACUCGUACUGCGCACGUAAAGCAAAGAAAGCUAAACAGAGCUAGUCGAGGUCUUGAACACGGAAAUAAAGGCUAAAACUCAAAAUGACCUAUCGGAUCAUCACAUUAUCUACCUCUAAAACAAACGUUCAUCCUCGAAUGGACAUACAAACGUACUUGAACUGGUGAAAAGGUAUGGGUAUAUAUCCGCAUGUCAUACUCGAAAUCCCAUGUGGUUUCCUCAAUCGGCAUGACCUCUCCACUACACUCGAAAUGAAGGUUAACUCUUAGACCACAGCUUUCAAAUUUGUCGGGCUAGAAUGGCCACCGGCUCCUCCUCAUAAGUCAGAUCCUUGUCCAAUUGGGCUUAGCUGAAAUCUAACACAUGGGACUGAUCACCGUGAUACUUCUGGAGUAUGGAUACUUUGAUUACCGGAUGAACUAAUGAUAAGCUAGGUGGCAAGGCAAGCCUAUAGUCGACCUCACCCACUCUCUCAAAUACCUUAAAAGGCCCGAUAUACCUAGGGCUUAACUUGACCUUCUUUCUGAAACCUCAUCACACCCUUCAUGAGUGAAACCCGGAGAAAAAUCCUCUCUCCAACCAUGAAUGCAACAUCACAAACUCUACGAUUGGAAUAACUAUUCUACCGUGACUUAGAUGUGCAAAGUUGAUCCUGAAUUAUCUUGACCUUGUCCAAGGCAUCCUAAACUAUAUCAGUAUCCAACAACCGAGCCUCCUCAGCUCAAACCAAUCGACUGGCGAAUGGAGAUGUCUCCUGUAUAAUGUCAUAUAGGGAGCCAUCUAAAUACUCAAUUGAUAGUUGUUGUUGUAGGCAAACCUCUGGAAGUGGCAAAAACUGAUCCCAAGAAAUCUCGAAAUCCAUAACGCAAGUGCAAAGCAUAUCCUCCAAUAUCUGAAUGGUGCGCUCAGACUGUCUGUCCUUCUAGGGGUGAAAUAUUGUACUCAACUCAACAUGUGUCCCUACCUCAUGUUGUACGACCCUUCAAAAGUGCGAGGUGAAUUGUGUACCUUAAUAAAAAUGAUGGACACCGGCACAUCAUGAAGACGGACGAUCUCUCAAAUAUAGAUCUCAGCCAACCGCUCUGAAGAAUAAGUAACUGCUUUGAGCAUAUGAUUUUUACCCUGUUGAGACGGCUCCUACAGGACUCGCAAGUUUAGGAUUUUUCCUUUUAAGUAUUUAUUUUUAGAAUUUAAUUUCAGGAUUUAAUUGUGCUUGUCAGUGUGUUUUCAUUAAUGCAUGCAUAAAAUCACAAAAUAUGCAAAAUUGCAUAAGAAUUUAGGAUUUAAUUUCAUAUUUUGCUAAAUUAUUGGUAAUUAGGGUUAUUUUUGCAAAUACAAAAUUCACAAAAAAUAAUAAUAAUAAUAAGUGUAAUUAAUUUUUUAUUUGUUGCAUUUUUAUUUGUUUUGCAUAAUAGGUAGUUAUCAGUUUGUUUAGCUCAAUUAGAAUUUUUAUAGUACAAUUAGGAAUUUAAAAAAAAUAAGGAGAAAAAAAACAAAACAGAAAAAAGGUUCUCUAAUGAAUCACCCAGGCUGGCCACAAUUGGGCCAGACCUAGGUGGCCCAAGUAAUUUUAAACCCUGAAAUGACCCAUACCCAGCCCAAAUGUUGGUCUCCGACCCAGUCCAUCAUAGGUGCCCCAAAACGACACCGUUUUGGGGCAAGUCAUCCCAACCGUUGAUCACAGGCCAUCCAACGGCCCUGAAGCCAGGCCCUAUUUCACAUAUAUAUGUCCAAAUCCCUCUAUACACUCAGAGACCAACCUCCGUCUUCCUCGUACAUAGAUCCCUGGUAUAUCACCACCCCUUCACCGCCAUGAGACCACCGAUGACCACCCUAACUCCGCCGCCAGAAAUCGCCUCACGGCUGCGACCGAUCACCAAACAGCCUCAGCUUUACACCACCAGACAACCUCGACCCCCUCUUUCCCUUCCCGUGGUCAGCUUCCUUCAAAUAAGUUCCAAUCUCCUCGAAUAUUCGAAAGUAGGCUCGCCGGCACCACCGCCUCCGGCGACCCAACCCCAAAACAACAACCCAGACCACCUCCUCUCCCUCUGUCCAACCGUCCAAACCAUAUCCUUCAAAUCCCAACGAAUCGUCUUGAAUAUUAAAUCUAAAUUAACACUAAAUCCUAAAACUCACCGGAACCCAUUCAAAUUGGUCUUAGAUGACCCUUUCCUAUCCCUAUCCCUAUCCCCAACCCCACCCUUCGAAUCUUAAUAGACCGGCUCGAAUAUUGAAUCAAUAUUAACCCUAAAUCCUAAAACUCACCAGAACCCGUUCAAAUUGGUCUCAGAUGACCCUCUCCUAUCCCUAUCCCUAUCCCCAACCCUACCACCCAUAGCCCUCAAACACAACUAGGUAUAAUGAUAAACCAAAUCUGAGACCUCUCCUUCUCUCAGAAUCAACAAACCCCCCUCCCCCCCGAACCCUUUUUCCCUCUUCGAUACUCAAGGCAAAAUGCCUUAGAAGUUAAAUACAUCUCAAAAAGGGGUUAGGUAAUGAAGGAACUGGAAGAGUUCCAAGCCAAGAACUGCAUGCACAAAAAGCUAAGUGUUCUAUGCCCUAAUUAUUGUCAAUGCUUGUACAUAUUUCUUGUUUAAUUGUUGUUUUCUUUAAAUUUUACUUGUUUUCUACAUUCUCAUCUCAAAGUGUUUGAGUAGUCAUCCUUGUCUACUAUAUUCUUCUGGUUCCCUUUGGUUUACUGGCUUGAAUUCAUUUGUCUUCUAUGAUCUUCUGAGUAUUCUGAUAUCAUUCUCAUCUUUGUCUCUUCACUCUUCAGUUGUUUCACCUCCGAAAUUCUGAAUUGUCUAUUUAUCCUUGUCUAUUGACUCUUCACUUGUUUCACCUCUGAAAUUGUGAAUGGGUUUUUUAUCCUAUUUGACUUACAUCAUGAUUCUGAGUAGGUAUUUUCUUUUUAGGAGUUUCAUACCCGUCAUAGUUCGUCUAGUAAUUUUGAUCUUCAGUAUUUGCACGUGUUAGGCUGAUUUUCUUUUCUGAAUAUUUUAACUACUGAUAUCAGCCUUGUUUAAUUUCUUGGUUUUUAUUCACGUAUAUCCUGAUUAUUUAAUCUCUGUUACUCAUUUUUUGCUUCUAAGUUUUUACUGAGUGUUGUAAUUUGGUUCCUUUUCUGAUUAUUUUGGUUCAUUUUGACGUGUUAAAAAACCUACAUGUCCACCUAUCAGGUGUUUUGUUUUCAUGAAUAUUCAUAUAAUCGUAAAAGUUGCGAUAAUUUGGUUUCAUCCCUUUACUGAAUAGUGUAAAACUCAUGUUGAAUGUUCUUGUUUGAAUCCAUGAGGUAUUCUUAAAUUCCUCGGGUGUCUACUUCUACAUAAUUAAGCUGUAGUUCACACUUUGAAUUUGGCUUAUAACUUGAAUGCAACUAACUAGGGUCAGAUUUGACCAAACAAAUGGAAACCAAGUUUAAAACCCUUAGGUCUGUAAUUAGAAAAAGGAACAGGGGUAUAAAGGGUAUUUGAAUAUAAAUAAUCUUAUAAAAAACUCCUAGAACAUUCUAGUGAGGGGUAUUAAGCAUAAUUUUUGCCUCAAACUAGAGGCACAAGUUAGAAAAUUAAGGACUAUUUAGGUAAAACUGAAAAUUGGGUAAGGGGUUAAAAAGAAAACAAAGAAAUUGGUAUUGCCCUAAGGCUUCAAUUAUAAAAGGAAGCAUUCUGAACAUUGAAGGGGCUGGGAACUUUGAGAUUUUUCGGGCAGAUUUUUCCUGCAAAUCUUUUAGUGAAUUAGAAUAUAUAAAAAUUCAUAUUAGCCUAUUAUACAUUCUUCAUAAAUCCUUUGGUGUUGUUCUCUUCCGAUUCAUAUUCAGUUGCUUUAGGGAUUUAGUGUUAUUAUUUGCCCUAUCAACUUUCCUGAGUUGUUUCUGGGAUUUUAUUAGCUGAUUGGCUUCUGUUUUUGGCUUGCUACUCUCUUAUCCUUACUCAUAGACUUUAUUUUGCUGAAUUCCAGGUAUCCAUCUUCACUCAAAAGCUGAGAAAUAAUGCUUAUGUAUAUUCGAGAUUUUGGCUGAUAAUAAGGAAGAGAUAAUACUUCCGUUUCAAUUCCCUGUUAUAACUGUAUUUAUUUCUUAGAAUUGUUGGUGAUUGUAAUGAAUAGGAACAUGUUACUUAUGGACUGAUAUUAGGACUAUGCUUUUUUAUUCGUUUAGAUUCUAAUACAUUAAAAAUAGUCUGGUCAGAUUUAUUUAGUGUUUGUAACUUGAAGAAAUGGUAGAGGUUUGACAACUGAACAUGUACACUCUGAAUGAUGAGAAUCCCAAAUUGUUUUCUUCAAAUAUUGAGACUGAAAUCUGAUAUGAAAUCCUUUUCUGCUUCUUCCUUAUUCACAUACUUUGGUAUAUUUUACAAUAAUCAUGUAUAUAGUUUUGAUGACUAUGGUAUUAUUGAGAGAAGGGCUGACUAUUAUUCACUUAUAAUGGACUCAUUGGUCCAAGCUUCUAGGCCCAAUUGGGAGGCCCAAUAGUUGUCAGUUGUGGUAUAAUGAUACACAUUCCUGGGCUGGCUAAAAAAUAAAGCCCAAAUCAGCCACGUAUUAGACUAAAAAUACAACUACUAAAUUUUCUCAAAAUAUAUUACCCAUGUAUAAAUGAUUAGGACACUUUUAACAUAAGCAUGAUAGAAAACUUAGUGUGCUUUAGGAUGUCCUUAUAAAAAUAAAGUGAGCCACGUUAAUCUAAUCAAACACCAUAUGAGGCUCUUUAACUUAAUAAAAUACAUAGAGAAUUGGAAGUGUUGUUUAGCAAAUUUCACAGUCUUUCACGAAUUUCUAAAGAUGUAGUCGCUAUAGGCGCGAAUUUAUUAAUAAAAAAAUCUUCCUAAACUCGAGUGCGCAUUUAUGUGACCCAAAUCCAAAUCUCAAUGGAGUUGAAAUGUGUCUAAAAUUGCGUACGCAUUUAUAUGACGUGAUUUGCGAUGUGUUUUAAUGACAUUGCAAAUUUCCUAAAAAUAUAUAUUAAAAGCAGUUAAUAAUUUAAAAUUGCAUUAUAGGUUUGAACAAGUGUAAUAAAUCAGAUUUUUGGCCAAUUAUAAUAGUUUAUGCGACCGUGCUAGAACCACGGGAUCCGAGGGUGCCUAACACCUUCCCUUGGGUCUACAGAAUUCCUUACUCAAGAAUUUCUGGUUCGCAGACUCCAAUUGGGCAGUCAAAAUUUCCUCGAUUAGGGAUUCCAAAUAAACCGAUAACUUGGGACACCAAGAGCCAAACCUAUCCCAAGUGGCGACUCUUGAAUAAAUAAUUAAUCCCAUUUUGAAUAAUGUCACUUUAAUUGGAAAAACUCCAUUAAACAUUUUUUCCUUCGGGGUAUCCGUGUAACAAAAAGGGAGGUGUGACAGCUCUGGCGACUCUGCUGGGUAUAGAAGGACCUAGAAACUCUGGUUCAGGGUUCAAGAAUUCGAGCUUACAAUAACUGUUAUAUUUUGCUUCUUCUGAUUUGCUUACAUGUCCUGUGCUAAAUGCUUUUACCGCUUUGAGACUCCCUAGUAGGAACAUUUUUAUCCUUCGGGGUAUCUGUGUAACAAAAAGGGGAUGGCCUUUUGGUUUCCGCUACGUAGCCCCCUCCUCACUCACGUUAUCUGCUCGGGUGCACAAUCUAGACCCUAUACCGAGGUUCUAAACUUAUUAUUACAAAGCCUCAUACCGGAUCCCUAGUAGGAACAUUUAUUUUCAUCAUGAAUUUGACUUAGGGGGCUCAACACAGGGGUUGGGUCCGUCUAGGACAGGUGCUCUGAAAUAAAAGACCAUCCUGAUGCAUUUUACGUGCUACUUGUACAUUUAUUUGCCUUGGAUUCGCAUGUUGACCGGCUCGUGAAAUAGGAGAAUAAAUUGAAAAAUAGCACUGCUAGGGUGAUCACUUGUAAACCAAUGCUUAAAAUAGCGCCGAAAUGUUGCCGGUUGUUUCAAACAAAACCAAAAAAAAGAACACAAAAAAACAAACAAUAAAAGGAAUUUGGGAGUUUUUCAAUAAUAUUUUCGGGAUUUGAUAAAUUAUUUUGCCAAGUCCAACACCUUUUUGCAAAAAUGCCAAAAUAAGAAAAACAAAUGUCCGAGUUUAUUCACUUGUUUUGAAAUAAGUCGGGUGGUGCCAUUAGUGCCCGUAAUAGCCGAACGUUACCGCAAGGGGCGCCGGAAGGCUGAUCUUGCACAAAUGGACACCUCUGAAUUAUAUUCUGACUGAUAAGCAAGCACAACCUGAAAAACCUUCUCUUCGAAGUGUUGAAAGGCCGUAUUCGCAAGGUCGGUCCUUGUUUAUAAAAUAAAUUUCCAUAAGAUGUCGGUAUUAAUGUUUUGAGAAUACUAAAUUCGCCUAAUAAACAUGCAGAAUGAGCAAGAUAAUGAACAAAAUUCCCUUGGAGUUGCGACUAUGGGGGAAUGAUCUCGGGGAAGCAGGGCAGAAAAGGGUCAACGCACAUGUGGGAGGCCUCACUUUUUUAUUGAAAAUUAACCUCAAGGGAGACAUCAUAAAGGCCUUAAUCAUUUUCUGGAACCCGGCCCACAACAUCUUCCACUUUUCGAACUUUGAGCUCACCCCGACUUUUGAAGAAAUGACCGGAUAUAUCGGGACCCAUAAAAUCCCUUUGAGACAUCAAUAUUUGAUUGCACCCAGAGCCCUCGUUGUGCACAAAUUUCUGGAUUCCUUGAAAAUUAGCAGAAAAGUUCACAAUCCCAACUUAUCGGAUGGCUUCUGCACCCUGUAAUUCGUAUAUAAGAGAUAUGGCCACAUUGGAGGAUUCUACAACCCCGAAAAUCUUAUAUGUAGCAAGAAAAUCGGCUCAAGUGGGAGGAGCAUCGAUGUUUUGCGUUCAUGGUGUCUUUCUUGGGCCUUUUAGUAUUCCCGCGAAAGGACGAGAACAUUGACAUAAGGAUAGCGGGAAUCGUUAGCACUUUAAUGGCCUAAGCUAAAAGUACUCUCGCUCCAAUGAUCUUGUCUGACAUCUUCCAUGCUCUCACUUCCUGUAAAGCAGAAGGAGAUUUCUUCGAGGGUUGUAACUUGUUGCUGCAAAUAUGGAUGAUUGAGCAUAUAGUCACCGGCAUCGGUUCAUGAAUUACGGGUCGCCAACAAAGAGCUGCAUAGAAGAAUUUGGCAAUAGGGUUGAUGGUUUUAAAUUACCAGAGGGAGUCGCAGAAUGGGUGUCGCAUUUCCUGGCCAUCACUGCAAAUCAAAUAGAAUGGAAAUUCGGUUGGCUCUCGGUGGACGAAAUUAUGUAUAUGCCCGCCACUGGACCUCAUUUCUUUUUGAUGGGCAUCCGAAGCAUCCAGCCCUAUGCACCGUAUAGAGUACUAAGACAAUUCGGUGGAUGCCAAAUGAUCCCCAGAGACGAGGACAUUAGCCGCCAUGUAGUUGAGAUAAGCCCGAACGGUCAGUUCCCCAAAGUUGUUGUAUGCCAAAUCUGGAGUGAAUGUCAAUACUUGACAGCCGAUACUCGAGUACUUGACGUAUCCAAAGGUGAGGUUGCACCGAGGUAUGUUUCUUGGUACAAGAGAGAUAUAGAGCUUGGGAGACCGGCAAAGAGACCUCAUCUCCAGGAAUUUGCUGAGACAUCACAAGAGCAAUGGGAUUGGUUAGCAAAAGAAAAUGAGUACCAGGCUACUAUGGGAAAGCUGGAAAAGAAAAUUCAAGAAUUACAAUUCGAGAACAGUUAGCAAACUGUAGCCAGUGAGGGAGAAAAGAAGGUAUUGAUUAAAGAAAAUGAAGCCCUAUGAGCCCAAAUCCAGAAAAUGAAGGCAGCCGCAGAAAAUUCUCCUAGGAGUACAAAUGAUGAAAAGCUCAUAGAAAACCUGCGACGGAAAGUAACUGAAUACGGGUUCGGCCUGAAUAAGGCAGAGGGUUGAAAUAAAUUAUUUAAAAGUGCAUAGGAACGAACCUGCAUACUGUAGCAAUUAAAAGAAGGAAAUGGCAAUGAGAUCAUCGGUUUAAAACAGAGGGUUGUCAUAGCUGAAAACAAAAUGGCCAAACAAGCCAGGGAUUUCAGGGAAUAAUGAUGAGAUUGUUUGUUUAAAGCGGAGGGUCAUCAUGACUAAAAACAUAAUGACCAAGCAAGCCGGAGACUUCAAAGCCGAAAGAGAACAUUGUUAUGCAGUAAUAGAAGGAUUAGAAAGGGAUUUGCGGCAAUUCCAAAAGGUGAAUCAAGUAGUCGAAUGAACUUUAGAGGCAAGGGCCGAACAAAUUGGCCGUCUAUUACAAGAAAAAGGGGUUAUCAGGAAAUGGGUGCGAGCAAUCGCAGAAUAUAUUACCACAAAGUGCAACCACUGUGAGGACAUGACAAAAUCUAUGUUCUUUGCUGCUGCCAUGACAUUUGUUCGUCAAGUGAUGAUCUCCACUACCUCCAGGGAAGUUUAGCGCGCAAACCUGCGGUAAGGCCGGACGAUGCCCCUCAAGCUCCAAAAACACUUGAAGUUUUAAUGUACUCAUAAAUUUUUAUUUUCCUUAUAAGAAAUUGUCUGUAUGUUAUUCUACUCACCUUUCGAGUCUAAAGAUUAUUGAGUCCCAGUUUGAUAGCUGCUUUUCAUUCUGUUAGCUUUGUAAUCAAAGUUUAUGUCUUUAUAAAAAUUGAAAAUCCCAAAAAUAUUCUGUUGUGUACAUAACAUUUUUCCAUGAACUAUGCUCGGUCUGAUUCAUGAAAUGUCAUGAUACGUAGGCAAUCUCUAUAGGAUUCAACCGUAUUCUUAAAAAAGAGAACAGAACCACGCUCAGUCUGAUUCAUGCAAUAUCAUGAUACGUAGGCAAUCUUUAUAGGAUUCGACCGUAUUCUAAAAAGGGAAAGCCAACAAGGAAUAGGAAGUAGGAAAUAAAAGGAAAAUGCAGAAUAAAUGCCGGGAUGACACAUGCGAACAUGGAAAGCAUAUAGAAAACCCGUUAACUGCAUAGGUGCAUCAUACCCAAUGUGUAAUUUCAUGUUUGUUAUCCACCUCAACCUAACCGUUUGAAAUUCCAGUGUUCAGUACAGGUGUUUAAGAAUAGUGAUUGGUUUGCGGUAAGCUAGCUUCGCACGGAUACUUUACUAGGUCAAAAGGAAGCACAGAGAUGUCGACCGAAAUGACUCUACCAGCAAUCCCUAUCCGAGCGGACAACCCAAUUACGGGUAUCCCAGAAUCUGAAUCUGCAGCGGCUGAAGAGAAUAAAAUCCUUCUACUCUGAGUUAUGGAGAUGUGAGAUGCCUGGACAAAUGGGAAAGAACCUCCAAGUGUUAUCCCCGAAUUUCCCGAGCUUUUCCAAGGUCAGGGGGUACCUUCACCAUCCCUAUCAGUCACCCAAAUAUCCUCCUGGGGAAGCCCACCAAAUAAACCAACUUUUUCGGAGCGCCCUCUGAAACCCGCCCUCCGAUGUUUACAUCUGGUCCAGUUCCCAACAUUUUUACGGCCCCUCCACGUGCAGCCACCACACAGCCUGCGGUACCGAGGCCCAUGUUUGACCCUACAGCUUUUGCAUUCCAAACUCCCAACUACCAAACCGAGCCUCCCCCAUACCGCAGAUACAAUUACCCUCAGCCAGCAUAUGAACUCACACCUGUGCAAGACAAAACCCCUAAUACACCCGAAAAAGAUGAAUAACAAGAAGAAUGAAGAGUCUCGAACAAAGUCUGAAAACAUGCAAGGAUUAAGUGGGCUGAAGAGUGUAUCUUACUCAGACCUAUGCAUGUUCCCAUACGUACAUCUUCCUAGGGUUUAAAAUGCCGAAGUUUGAAAAAUACGAUGGCUACGGCGACCCCAUCGCUCAUUUGAAAAAGUAUUGCAAUCAACUGCGUAGAGCCGAUGGGGAGGAAGAACUCUUGAUGGAAUAUUUUGGGGAGAGCUUAGUGGGCAUUGCUUUUGAAUGGUACAUGGACCAAGAUAUUACCCGAUGGCAUAUCUGGGAUGACCACGCCCGGGAUUUCGUGAGGCAAUUCCUGUAUAACAUUGAUAUUGCCCCGGACAGGAACUCCUUAGCCAACUUGAAAAAGAAACCUUCAGAAAUCUUCAGAGAAUAUGCUGUUAAGUGGCGCGAGCAAGAGUCAAGAGCAAAGCCACCCAUGGAUGAGACGGAGAUGGUCACCAUUUCCUACAAGCGCAGGAGGCAGAUUAUUUUCAAAAUAUGAUGUCAGCAAUGGGCAAACCCUUUGCAGAUGCAAUUAAUAUCGGUAAGAUAGUAGAGAAUUGCCUCAAGACAGGGAGAUUUCUGAUUCAAUCCGCCAUAAGAGCAACCUCCCAGGCCAUACAAGUCGGGGCGGGAGGGAUCCCAAGAAACAAGAAGAAAAAAGAAGUGUCCAUGGUAGCCUCCGGGAUGAGAAAAAAUCAUACUCAUAUACCUGUAUUCUCAGAAAGGGCAUCUCAACAUUACUAUCCCAACCAAGACAUGCACUAUGCUCCUCAACCUUAUGCAAUCAUGAAUGCCCAGCCCUUUGCUCGACCAUAACAACAGGGCAAUAGAAACCAAGCCCCAAGAAAUCAACCUCCUUUGAAUCACUAUAAUCCCCGCCCUCCACAAAAUAAUUACUGUCCCAGGGAACCACCUAGGAGACAGAACUUCACUCCAAUAGGGGAAUCUUAUGCUAGCUUAUUCCCAAAGUUGGUCCACAUGGGUCUCCUGCGGCUCGUGCCCCCGAACGGACAAAACCCCGAGUCACCUUCCUAUGAAAGGGGCGCAUGUUCUGCUUAUCACUACGGGGCGGAAGGACCGGACACCGAAAACUACUGGACUCUAACACGAGUGGUGGAGGAUUUGAUAGAUCAAAAGAAAAUAGUACUAAGAGAUGAAGAGGUACCAAACGUAACCAAUAACCCGUUGACGGCUCACAACAAUGGGCCAGUCAUGGAAAUGAUCUGUGAGGACAAAGAAUCUGAUCCUACCUUGAAAGCCAUAAUAGCCAUCGCUGAGGCAGACAGAAAACCAAAAUUUACCCCCAAGAAGAUUGAAGAAUAGAAAAUGAAUGAAGCCAAGUGCCCAGAAGCAUAGAAGAAGCCUGAAAUUAAACUGAGACACCCCUACCAAGGAAACAAUACUUUACAGCCCACGAGGGCGUGAAGAAAAGCAGCCCACUUUGUGUCCCCCAAGAAGGUUCGAGAUGAACAAAACCAUGUAUGUACCCAAGAAAGCCUAUGUGGUACAGGGAUCGAUUAAACCAUCGGUGCUGAAUGAGCCCAUGGUAAUCGGUCGCGCAUCUCAGAAGCCCAUGAAAAACCCUUCGGCAGUCCCUUGGAAAUACCAAGAAACCAUUGUUACAUACAAGGGCAAAGAAAUCAUCGGGGAAACUCAAAAAGGAUUUCCCACAAAGAAAUACUCAGAUAUGGAAUAGGUGAAUGCUGAUACCAAACAGCGAUUUCCACCUAAGAGGCCAGCGAAUGCUGAGGAGGCAGAAGCUAUCUUUCAAAAAAUGAAAAUUCCAGAAUACGAGGUGGUGGACCAGCUCCAAAAGUACCCUGAGCAGGUCUCUCUAUCGUCACUCUUGAUGAAGUCUCCCGAGCACCAGCAGGUGUUGACCAAAACCUUGAAUGAAGCAUACGUACCGGCGGGAACCUUCGUGGAGCAACUACAUAAAAUGGAAGAGAGAUUCUUUUCCAUUAACCAGGUUACGUUCAGCAUGAAUGACUUACCUCCGGAGGGAGAAGCCCACAACAAAGCCUUGCACCUCACGGUCAAAUGCGAGGGCUAUUAUGUCAAAAGAGAGAUGAUAAACGAAGGCUUUGGGGUAGAUAUAUGCCCACUGUCUACAUUGCAUAGAAUAGAGAUUGGGACAGAGAGGAUCCGUCCCAACAAUGUGUGUGUCCGAGCCUUUGAUGGAAUCAAGAGAGACACCUUAGGGGAAAUUGAGUUAGUGCUAACCAUUAGUCUGGUCGACUUUGAAGUAACAUUUCAAGUACUGGAUAUGGACACAUCCUAUAACAACCUCCUAGGAAGACUGUGGAUUCACUGCGUCAAAUGCUGAAUUUCGAACAUGAAAACUAGGAGAUUGUUGUUCAUGGAAAAGACGAACAAUCAAUUUAUUGGAACCCCUAUGAUGACUUAGUGCUGACCAUUGGUCCAAUCGAAUUUGAAGUGACGUUUCAAGUAUUUGACAUGGACACAUCCUAUGACUACCUCCUAGGAAGACCGUGGAUUCACGCAGCAGGAGCGGUGCCUUCUACUCUGCACCAAAUGCUGAAGUUCGAACAUCAAAAUCAAAAGAUUGUAGUUCAUGGAGAAGACGAACAGUAAAUUUACCGGGACCCUUCUGUUCCCUGCCUCGAAGCCAAGGAGGAAAGUGAGCACAUAGUCUACCAAGCUUUUGAAAAUGUGGUAUCCGAUCAACAUGAAGAAGGAAAGCCACUCCCCCAGCCUUUCCUCUCAAAUGCUUCAAUCAUGGUGGCAAGGGAAAUGACGCGCUAAGGUUUUAAGCCAGGUAAGGGACUUGGAAGCUCCCUACAAGGCAUAACUGAGCCGGUCACUUUGCCUGCCGCAUAAACGUUCUUUUGGCUGGGCUUUCAUCCAACAUCAGAAGAUAUCACCUGGGCCAAUCGCAGAAAGCGUCAUGGGUGGGCUUUGCCACAACCCAAAACCAAGCCCCAAGAAAUCAACCUCCUUUGAAUCACUAUAAUCCCCGCCCUCCACAAAAUAAUUACUGUCCCAGGGAACCACCUAGGAGACAGAACUUCACUCCAAACCUACCUUACUUGUACAAAACAUUUGUAAAGCCAAAGUAAAGUGAGAGGAAGAAAAGACCUUCACAGCAGAAGAAAUUGAUGAGAUAUGUGGAGCCAUGAGGGAGUUGUAGUACGAAGCCAACAUGGUCUAGCUGGGAGAAGGCUCAAGCACAACCGAAGUGCUCUAUUUAGGACCGGAUGCCAAGCUGCAAAACUGGAAGGCCACGCCUUUCCCAGUCAGGCGGGAGGCCCGAUAGUCCCGCCUUGCUACCCUCAUUUGCAUCACGAGCUAUUUCAGGGUGUAGCUCGUUGUUUUUCUUUAGCAUUUUUUUCCUUCAAAUUUCAGUUGUAAACCUUGUUAUCUUACAAGAAAUGAAAUCAAUAUUUCAUCAUUUUCACCUCUCUGUCUUUCUCUGAUUUUUAUAUUUCUUUUUUCAUCUUUCUUUCAGUCCUAAUAAUGCGGCUUUAAAUAAAAUGACAUGCUUGUGGACUUCAUGCCAUGACCCAAACAUGCUGCCCAUUUGUGAAAUAAUGAACCAAGAAUCGGAAUACAAUAAAGAAGAGGCUUUUAGGGAAAUUAACCAAGAGUUGGAACAUUUUAACAAACCUAAGCCAAAUUUAAACUAUACUGAACCGAUUAACUUGGGUGAUCCCGAUGAAAUCAAAGAAACUAAAUUAAACAUCCAUGUAAAUAAAGAAAUACAGGAUUCAUUGGUUCAACUCCUUUUGGAAUUCAAAGAUGUAUUUGCGUGGUCUUACGAUGAUAUGCCUGGUUUGAGUAUGGAUCUGGUGGUUCAUAAGUUACCCACAUACCCUGAAUGCCCUCCGGUCCAACAAAAACAAAGGAAGUUCAAGCCUGAUGUCAGCGAUAAAAUCAAAGAGGAGAUCACAAAACAGCUAGAGGCGGGGGUAAUCUGAAUGGUUCGGUAUACCACAUGGCUGGCCAAUGUGGUCCCAGUACCGAAGAAGGAUGGAAAAACUCGUGUAUGUGUGGAUUACAUAGACUUAAACAAGGCGAGUCCCAAGGAUAACUUCCAUCUACCCAACAUCCACAUCCUUGUUGAUAACUGUGCGAGUGGUUCGCUAUACCACAUGGCUGGCCAAUGUGGUCCCGGUACCGAAGAAGGACGGAAAAACUUGAGUGUGUGUAGAUUACACAGAUUUAAACUAAGCGAGUCCCAAGGAUAACUUCCCUCCACCCAACAUCCACAUCCUUGUCGAUAACUGUGCCAAGCAAAAAAUUUAGACCUUUGUAGACUGCUAUGCAGGAUAUCACCAAGUGUUGAUGGAUGAGGAAGAUGCUAAGAAAACCGCCUUUACCACACCUUGGGGAACUUAUUGUUACAGAGUAAUGACUUUUGGAUUGAAAAACACCGAGGUGACAUACAUGAGGGCCAUGACCACCAUCUUCUAUGACAUGAUGCAUCAAGAAAUAGAAGUAUAUGUGGAUGAUGUGAUAAUCAAGUCCAAAACGCAGGGCGAUCAUGUAAAGGACUUGAGGAAGUUCUUCGAAAGGCUUCGCAAAUAUGAUUUGAAAUUCAAUCCAACCAAGUGUGCAUUUGGAGUCCCAUCAGGAAAGCUUAUGUGGUUCAUUGUCAUCCGAAGAGUUAUCGAGUUGGAUCUGACCAAGAUAAAAUCCAUUCGAGAGCUGCCUCCGCCAAGGACCAAAAAGGACGUAAUGAGUCUAUUGGGAAGAUUGAAUUACAUCAGCCGAUUCAUCGCCCAGUUGACUUCCACAUGGGAGCACAUAUUCAAGCUACUAAAAAAGGAUGCGUCAGUUAAAUGGACUGUUGAGUGUCAAGAAUCUUUUGACAAAAUCAAACAAUACUUGUCCAAUCCACCUGUUUUGGUUCCUCCAGAACUAGGAAGGCCACUAUUUCUCAAUCUAACAGUCUUGGAAGGCUCUUUUGGUUGUAUUCUCGGGCAGUAUGAUGCCACGGGAAAGAAAGAGCAAGCCAUUUAUUAUCUGAGCAAAAAGUUUACCAGUUACGAGGCCAAGUACACACUGCUAGAAAGAACUUGUUGCCCCUUGACGUGGGUGGCUCAAAAAUUAAGGCAUUAUCUGCAAGCCCAUACCACUUACCUCAUAGCUAGGCUGGAUCCACUAAGGUAUAUAUUCCAAAAACCAAUGCCCACAGGACGACUAGCCAAAUGGCAAAUCUUACUCACCGAGUUCGACAUAGUUUACGUCACUCGUACUGUAAUGAAGGCUCAAGAAUUGGCAGAUCAUUUGGCUGAGAAUCCCAUUGAUGAUGAAUAUCAGCCACUAAACACCUAUUUCCCUGAUGAAAAAGUAAAUUCGGUGGAAUUAACAGCUGAAGACAUCCUCGUCUAGAAAAUGUUCUUCGACGGAGCAGUAAACGCAAAAGGCGUCGGGAUUGGGGCAAUUUUGAUCUCACCCACAGGGCAGCAUUAUCCAGCUACCGCUAGGCUCCGUUUCUUCCGCACCAAUAACACAGCCGAAUAUGAGGCUUGCAUCAUGGGCAUGAAUAUGGCCAUUAACCAAGAUGUUGAGGAAUUGUUAAUCAUGGGAGAUUCCGAUAUGAUCAUCCGACAGGCUCAAGGAGAGUGGGAAACAAGAGAUGUUAAGCUUAUCCGAUACAGACAGCAUGUGGAAGACCUCAGCAAACGCUUUUGGUCGGUACAAUUCAGGUACAUCCCUUGCUGUCAUAAUGAGCUAGCAGACGCACUUGCCACUUUGGCCUCCAUGUUACCUUACCCGGGAAACGGUUAUGUUGAUCCUUUACAAAUCCAAAUUAAAGAAAGGCAUGGGUAUUGUAAUGUGGCCGAAGCAGAGUCUAGCACACAACCCUGGUAUUAUGACUUCAAAAGAUUCAUAAAAACACAGGAGUACCCCGAGUAAGCCACCGGGGAGCAAAAGAAAACCAUCCGAUGGCAUGCAAGCAACUUCUUCUUGAGUGGUGAUACUUUGUACAAAAGGACUCCAGAUCUUAACUUGCUGAGAUGUGUUGACACCGAGGAAGACGAAAGAAUUAUGCACGAAGUACAUGCGGGAGUGUGUGGGCCCCAUAUGAACGGCUAUGUACUGGCAUAUAAGAUACUCCGAGCUGGCUAUUACUAGAUGACCAUGGAGAAAGAUUGCUUCAGCUUCGUUCGAAAAUGUCAUCAAUGCCAGGUGCACGGUGAUUUGAUUCAUGCACCGCCAAAUGAAUUGCAUCCUAUGUCAGCACCCUGGCCAUUUGCCACCUGGGACAUGGAUGUCAUUGGGCCAAUUGAGCCAAAAGCCUCAAAUGGACACAUAUUUAUAUUGGUCACUAUUGAUUACUUCACAAAAUAGGUUGAGGCCAACACCCUUAAGUCUGUUACCAAGAAGGAGGUGGUGGAUUUUGUGUAUUCCAACGUCAUUUGUCAUUUUGGGAUUCCCGCUACUAUCAUUACAGAAUACGCAACUAAUCUAAACAGUCGGCUGAUGGGAGAAAUAUGUGAACAAUUCAAGAUAACACAUAGAAGCUCCACUCCUUACUGGCCCAAAGCUAAUGGUGCCGUCGAAGAAGCUAACAAGAACAUCAAAAUGAUCUUGAGGAAAAUGAUUCAAAGCUCUAGGAAAUGGUAUGAAAAUUUGCCUUUUGCAUUGAUGGGAUAUCGUACCACAGUACGCAUCAGUAGGACCAACCCCAUAUUUGUUGGUCUAUGGGACUGAAGCUGUCAUACCCGCAGAGGUAGAAAUCCCUUCUCUCCGAGUAAUUGUAGAAGCAGAAAUUGAGGAUAGUGAGUGGGUUAAAAUUCGUUUGGAGCAGUUGACAUUAACUGAUGAAAAACGAAUGGCUGUGGUGUGUCACGGGCAAUUAUACCAACAAAGAAUGGCACGUGCCUACAACAAGAAAGUGCGCCCUAGGAAUUUCGAAGUCGGGCAGCUGGUAUUGAGCGUAUACUUCCUCACCUUUAGGAAGCCAAAGGAAAAUUUGCUCCAGAAUGGAAAGGUCCAUACAUUAUCAGAAAGAUACUGCUUAAAGGAGCAUUGUACCUGGGUGACGUUGAAGGAGACGAUCCCGAGGCAGCAGUAAAUGCAGAUGCAGUGAAAAGGUAUUACGUUUGAACUCCCUGCAGCAAUGACCCCGGUUGAUUGAAAUGACGAAGGUUUUUCUUUCCCACUACCAUAAACACUAUCAAUCCCUCACAAACCCUUUGAGCCGGUUACGUUUCUUUGAUCACCCUCUUUGGAACCAGAAAAUGCUGUUCAAAACAAAAAAAAGAAAGAAAAAAGAAAGAAGAAAAGAAAAGAAAAAUGAAACAAAAAAUGAAUGCAAAAAAAAAAAAGAAGAAGAAGAAGAAGAAACACAAAAAAAAUUAGUUUAGGAAAAUUUCUUGAACUAUGUGUGACUUGAUUCCGAAAGGAUACAUAGGCAGCCUCUUCUUAAGGUUCAGUCAUAUCAAAAUAAAAACCUCAUUUACCCAAGAAAACCAAAAAUGGGGCAGAAAUGUAUUGGUUCGGUCACAAAUCCGUCCGAAUAGUUCCAAAGUUGUAGAUUCCGUCCAACUUCCUUUAUUAAAAAAGCCUAGUCCAAGUCCGUCCGAUCAGUUGACCAAAACGGGGACGUGAAAAGCACUUUUGUUGGGAUUCGGUACAACUCAAAUUUUGAGAGAAAAUAAAAUGAGAGAGUCUUAUCGGUGAAAACCUUCGAGCACCACAAGGCGACAGCGAGCAGAGAAAAACAUAAUGAGAGAGUCCAUUUAGCGAAACUCGCAAAGAGCAUUAUCGGGCGACGGGAGAAGAGAAAUGAGAGAGGCCGAUUGGCGAAAACCUGAAAAGGGCGCCGUCGGCCGAAAAGAGGAAAUAUUGCUGCUCAAGUAUGAAUAAGUUUCUUUGGUUUUGGAAGAGUUGAAAUCAGUAAGCAGAAAUGGACCUGGGCCGGGUAUUUAGUCCAAGAAGCAUGUCGUUGUCAUUUAAAACCGGCUCAUAUUUCCAGAUAAGUCUCCUCCUUUCCUCCAAAAGGAACAUAUCUCUCUAAAAUCCAUGUUUCAUUCUUUUCCACUUUAACUUUUAUGUCCUAACCAUCCCUUAAGAAAGGUAGCAAGGCUGGUCUCACGGGUUUCUCUUAGCAAGAAAUAAACGAAUGCCCGGCAUCAUCAAGCGCGCUUCGACAAUCCCGAAGGCUAACACCUCAAAGCAGGGAAAUAAAAGAAAUGAAAUGCAAAAUUAAAAGGUCCAUGAAAGUGAAGAGAAAUCUGAAGGUUUUAAGCUAAGCAGCACAGUAGUCCUUAUCAAAGGUCCCAAAGGCAAGCCCUGGAAUCAAAAUCGAGACAAAACUCAUAACCAAAGGCCUAAAAAACAAAAACCAACCCGAAAAUAAGGAACCCCCCGGCCAACCUACAAGGCGAGGAUCAGAAGUCGAGGGUUUUCCUCUAAUAGAAAUGGAGCUGAAAUCAAGCAUAACAGAGCCGCAAACCAAAUCACUGUUCAAACUAAGAGUUUGUUUCUUUUCUGAACUGAAAUAGACGCAGGUGUAAUCUAGAAAAACAAAAGUAACACGGGGCAAACACAACCAAAGGAAUGGCGCAGGACCAAGAAUGGUGUUCCAUCAAUAACAAAAGGGAAGUUUUUCUUUCAUUCUUUUCCUGCAACUCAUAAAUAAACAUGAUAGCAUGGGAUUCCAAUCCUUAGCUUCCCCUUGUGCAACUUGUGGAUUUCCUCGGCAUGACCCAAGGAUUGCAUCCCACCCCCUCCAGCAUAGACCAAGAAAUUUCCUUCCUUCACUCCCCGGCAUAACUCGGGAAGUUCCACUUUACAUCCCCAGCAUAACCUGAGGACCCCCUUUUCUCGCGCCUUUUGCUCCCCAGCAUAGUCUAAAAAUUAACGCUCCCCUAUCCUUAGCAUAACCUAAGGGUUGUUCCUUUCCUCCUCUAUCCCCAGCAUAGUCAGAAGGAUCUCUGUGGUCCUUCACUUCCUUGUAACUCCUUGGCAUAACCCAGGAAUUGUCUUUUAAUCCUGGCAUAACCCGCGGAUUCCCCUAGAAUAACCCAGGAAUUCUCUUUCAGUCCCGGUAUUACCCGUGGAUCUUCCUAGCAUAACCUCUUCACUUCCUUGUAACUCCCUAGCAUAACCUAGGAGUUCUCUUUUAAUCCUGGCAUAACCCGCGGAUUCCCCUGGCAUAACCCGCGGAUUCCCCUGACAUAACCUAAGAAUUUUCCAUUCAUCCCGGCAUAACCCGUGGAUUUCCCUAGCAAAACCUAGCAAUUUUCUUUCAAUCCCCGCAUAAUCCGUGGAUCUCCCUAGCAUAACCUACGAAUUGUAUUCCAAUCCUGGAAUAACCCAUGGAUCUCCCUAGCAUAACCUAGGAAUUCUCUUUCAAUCACGGCAUAACUCGUGGAUCUCCCUAGCAUAACCUAGGAAUUUUCUUUCAAUCACGGCAUAACCCGUGGAUCUCCCUAGCAUAAGCUAGGAAUUUUCUUUCAAUCCCGGCAUAACCCGUGGAUCUCUCUAGCAUAACCUAGGAAUUUUCCAUUCAUAGCGGCAUAACCCGUGGAUUUCCCUAGCAUAACCUAGGAAUUUUCUUUCAGUCCCGGCAUAACCCGUGGAUCUCCCUAGCAUAACCUAGGAAUUUUCUUUCAAUCCCGGCAUAANNNNNNNNNNNNNNNNNNNNNNNNNNNNNNNNNNNNNNNNNNNNNNNNNNNNNNNNNNNNNNNNNNNNNNNNNNNNNNNNNNNNNNNNNNNNNNNNNNNNNNNNNNNNNNNNNNNNNNNNNNNNNNNNNNNNNNNNAUCUCCCUAGCAUAACCUAGGAAUAUUCUUUCAAUCCCGGCAUAACCCGUGGAUCUCCCUAGCAUAACCUAGGGAUUUUCUUUCAAUCCCGGCAUAACCCGUGGAUCUCCCUAGCAUAACCUAGCAGUUCUUCUUUCAAUCCCGGCAUAACCCACGGAUUCCCCUGGCAUAACCCGAGACUUCUCUUUCAAUCCUGGCAUAACCUGUGGAUCUCCCUAGCAUAACCUAGGAAUUUGCUUUGAAUCCCGGCAUAACCCGUGGAUCCUCCUAGCAUAACCUAGGAAUUCUCUUUCAAUUCCGGCAUAACCCGUGGAUCUCCCUAGCAUGACCUAGGAAUUUUUCUUCAAUCCCGGCAUAACCCGUGGAUCCCCUGGCAUAACCCAGGAAUUUCUUCAUUACCCACGACUCUCCUUCUAUCCCCAGUAGGGACCUUUUCUUCCUAUCCCGGCAUAACCCGCGGAUCUUUUCUUACUCCCAGCAUGGAGGUUUUCAUUUCAAUCAUGGCAUAACCCGUGGAUCUCCCUAGCAUAACCUCGGAACUAUUCUUCAAUCCCGGCAUAACCCGUGGAUCUCCUUAGCAUAACGUAGGAAUUUUCCUUCAACCCCGGCAUAACCCGUGGAUCCCCUAGCACAACCCAGGAAUUUCUUCAUAACCCAUGACUCUCCGUCCAUCCUCAGCAGGGACCUUUUCUUCCUAUAGCGGCAUAACCCGCGGAUCUUUUCUUACCCCCAGCAAGGACUUUUUCAUAUCUAUCCUAGCAUAACUCGUGGAUCCUCCUCCUAUCCCACGCAAGGACCCUUUUUAUUUCCUAGCAUAACUUGUCAACCAGUCCAAGGACAUGAAAGCCUGAAUUUUGUUUCUUUCAAUAAAGAAAUAGUUUAGAUGUGUGUUGCAAAUAACUCACGAAAUUUUCCUAGUGAAAACUGGAGCAGAAAAUUCUGUUCGUUUGUUUGUUUUGGUGUCCGAGCAGGUAUUACCUCAAGGCACAGGAUUCGAGAUGACCGGAUACGUGAGUCUCAAUCCAGAAUAAAGGAGAAGGAGAAAAGAACAAAAUAAGUGAAUGUUGAAACGGUCAAGGAUAUGGAAAACUCAAAUUUUGAUUGAAGUCACAAGCCUCGUAUGUUUCGCUCCAGUCCAAUGCUAAAAAAUAACCAGCACCUAUAGCUUGCGAGCAUCAAGGUUCAGAUCAAAGCCUGUUACAAGAGCUAGACAAGACUCGAGAUCAAGUUUCAAGAGACUCAUGAAUAGGAAUUUUGUAACUCGUAGAUGAUAGAUCUAGCCAGCUUAGCUUUGUUUUUUCUUUUGUAAUAAAGAGUCGGUAAGAGGUAGCAGCAGCAACAACAUUGAAAUCACAACCCAUGGUAGUCCCAGCUACCAAAACUUUCAGAACUACACUGACCUGAUUCCUUUAUCGCCAAAGAUAUGUAGGCAACCUUUGAAGCAAGGUUCGAUCAGGAAUUUUUCAAAAAUGCUUUACAUGGAGUACUCAGUCGGAUGAAAAUCGCUCAUGUUUGCUCACUUGACUUUGCACGAAAAUUUUUGUGUUCCCACGCAAUGAGGGCAGCUGUGAGCAUAUGAUUUUUACCCUGUUGAUACGCCUCCUACAGGACUUGCAAGUUUAGGAUUUUUCCUUUAAAGUAUAUAUUUUUAGGAUUUAAUUUCAAGAUUUAAUAGCGGGUAUCAAUGUGUUUUCAUUAAUGCAUGCAUAAAAUCACAAAAUAUACAAAAUCAUAAGCAUUUAGGAUUUAAUUUCAUAUUUUGCUAGAUAAAUUGGUAAUUAGGGUUAUUUUUGCAAAUACAAAAUUCACCAAAAAAAUUAAUAAUAAUAAGUGUGUUUAAUUUUUCAUUCGUUGCAUUUUUAUUUGUUUUGCAUAAUAGGUAGUUAUCAGUUUGUUUAGCUCAAUUAGAAUUUUUAAAUUACAAUUAGGAAUUAAAAAUAAAUACGGAAAAAAACAAAACAAAAAAAAGGUUCUCUAAUGAAUCACCCAGGCUGGCCACAAUUGGGCCAGAUCGGGUGGCCCAAGUCAUUUUAAACCAUGAAAUGACCGAUACCCAGCCCAAAUGUUGGUCUCCGACCCAGUCCAUAAGAGGUGCCCCAAAACGACACCGUUUUGGGGCAAGUCAUCCCAACCGUUGAUCACAGGCCAUCCAACGUCCCUGAUGCCAGGCCCAAUUUCACAUAUAUAUGUCCAAAUCCCUCUAUACACUCAGAGACCAACCCUCGUCUUCUUCAUACAUACAUCCCCAGUAUAUCACCACCCAUUCACCGCCAUGAGACCACCGUUGACCACCUUAAUGUCGCCGCCGGAAAUCGGCUCACGGCGGCGGCCGGUCACCAAACAGCCUCAACUUUACACCACCGCACCACCUUGACCCCAUCUUUCCCUUCCCGUGGUCAGCUUCCUUCGAAAAAGUGCCAAUCUCCUCGAAUAUUUGAAAGAAGGCUCGCCGACACCACCGCCUCUGGUGACCCAACCCCAAACCAUCCCAAAAAAACACCCCUGAACCACUUCCCCUCCCUCUUUCCAACAGUCCAUACCAUAUCCUUCAAAUCCCAACGAAUCGGCUCGAAUAUUGAAUCUAAAUUAACCCUAAAUCCUAAAACUCACCGGUACCCGUUCAAAUUGGUCUCAUUUGACCCUUUCCUAACCCUAUCAUCAACCCCACCACCCACAGCUCUCAAACACAACUAGGAAUAAUCAUAAACCAAAUCUGAGACCUCUGCUUGUCUCAGAAUCAACAAACCCCCCCCCCCCAAAAAAAAACCCUUUUUCCCUCUUCGAUAGUCAAGGCAAAAUGCCUUAGAAGUUAAAUACCUCUCAAAAAGGGGUCAGGGAAUCAAGGAACUAGAAGAGUUCCAAUCCAAGAACUGCAUGCACAAAAAUCUAUGUGUUCUAUGUCGUAAUUACUGUCAAUGCUUGUACAUAUUUCUUGUUUAAUUGCUGUUUUCUUUAAAUUUUACCUGUUUUCUACAUUCUCAUCUUAAAGUGUUUGAGUAGUCAUCCUUGUAUACUAUAUUCUUUUGGUUCCCUUUUGUGUACUGGUUUGAAUUCAUUUGUCUUUUAUGAUCUUCUGAUUAGUCUGAUAUCAUGCUCAUCUUUGUCUCUUGACUCUUCAGUUGUUUCAGCUUCGAAAUUCCGAAUGGCCUGUUGAUCCUUGCCUCUUGACUCUUCACUUCUUUUACCUCUGAAAUUUUGAAUAGUUUGUUGAUCCUAUUUGACUUACAUCAUGAUUCUGAGUAGGUGUUUUCUUUUUAGGAGUUUCAUACCCGUCAUAGUUUGUCUAGUAAUUUUGAUCUUCAGCAUUUGCACGUGUUAGGCUGAUUUUCUUUUCUGAAUAUUUUAACUACUGAUAUCAGCCUUGUUUAAUUUCUUGGUUUUUAUUCACGCAUAUCCUCAGUAUUUAAUCUAAGUUACUCAUUUCUUGCUUCUAAGUUUUUACUGAGUGUUGUAAUUUGGUCAUUUUUUGUAAGUCUUGCAUAGUCGAUUGGGGUUCUUUUUUGAUUGUUUUGGUUCAUUUGACAUGUUAAAAACCUGCAUGCCCACCUAUCAGGUGUUUAGUUUUCAUGAAUAUUCAUAUAUUCCUGAAAGCUGUGAUAAUUUGGUUUCAUCCCUUGUUACUGAAUAGUGUCAAACUCACGUUGAAGGUGCUUGUUUGAAUCCAUGAGGUAUUCUUAAAUUCCUCGGGUGUCUACUUCUACAUAAUUAAGCCUGUAGUUCACACUUUGAAUUUGGCCCAUAACCUGGAUGCAACUAACUAGGGUCAGAUUUGACCAAACAAAUGGAAACCAAGGUUAAAACACUUAGGUAAGUAAUUAGAAAGAGGAAUAGGGGUAUAAAGAGUAUUUGAAUAUAAAGAAUCUUGUAACAAACUCCUAGAACAUUGUAGUGUGGGGUUUUAAGCAUAAUUUCUGCCUCAAACUUGAGGCACAAGUCAGAAAACUAAGGACUAUUUACGUAAAACUGAAAAUUUGGUAAGGUACUAAAAGGAAAACAAAGAAAUUGGUGUUUCCCUAAGGCUUUAUAAAAGAAAGCAAUCUGAACAUUGAAGUGGUUGGGAACUUUGAGAGUUUUCGAGCAGAUUUUUCCUUUAAAGCUCUUAGUGAAUUAGAAUAUAUAAAAUACAUAUUGGUCUCUUAUACAUUCUUCAGAAAUCCUUUAGUGUUGUUCUCUUCCGAUUGAUAUUGAGCUGUUUUAGGGAUUUAGUGUUAUUAUUUUCCCUCUCAAACUUCCUAAGUUGUUUUCUGGGAUUUUAAUUGCCGAUUUGCUGCUGUUUUUGGCUUGCUACUCUCUUAUCCUUACUCAUAGGCUUUGUUUUGCUGAAUUCCAGGUAUCCAUCUUCACUCAAAAGCUGAGAAAUAAUGCUUAUGUAUAUUUGAGAUUUUGGCUGAUAAUGAGGAAAAGAUAAUACUUUCGUUUCAAUUCCCUGUUAUAAUUGUAUUUAUUUCUUAGAAUUGUUGGUGAUUGUAAUGAACAAGAACAUGUUACUUAUGGACUGAUACUGUGCUUUUUAAUUCGUUUAAAUUCUAACACAUUUAAAAAUAGUCUGGUCAUAUUUAUUUAGUAUUUGUAACUUGAAGUUAUGGUAGAGGUUUGACAACUGAAUAUGUAUACUUUGAAUGAUGAGUAUCCCAAAUUGUUUUCUUCAAAUAUUGAGACUGAAAUCUGAUAUGAAAUCCUUCUCCGUUUCUUCCUUAUUCACAUACUUUUGGUAUAUUUUACAAUAAUCAUGUAUAUAGUUUUGAUGACUAUGGUAUAAUUGAGAGAAGGGCUGACUGUUAUUCUCUUAUAAUGGACUCAUUGGUCUAACGCUUCUAGGCCCAAUCGGGAGGCCCAAUAUAUAUCAGUUGUGAUAUAACGAUACACAUUCCUGGGCUGGCUAAAAAAUAAAGCCCAAAUCAGCCACGAAUGAGGCUAAAAAUGCAAGUACUGAAUUGUCUCAAAAUGUAUUAUCCAUAUAUAAAUGAUUAGGACAUUUUAUACACAAGCAUGAUAGAAAACUUAGUGUGCUUUAGGAUGUCCCUAUAAAAAUAAAGUGAGACACAUUAAUCUAAUCAAACACCAUGCGAGGCUCUUUAACUUAAUAAAAUACAUAGAGAAUUGGAAGUGUUUUUUAGCGAAUUUCACGGCCUUUCACAAAUUUCUAAAGACGUAGUUGUUAUAGGCGCGAAUUUAUUAAUAAAAAUAUCUUCCUAAAACUCAGGUGCGCAUUUAUGUGACCCAAAUCCAAAUCUCAAUGGAGUUGAAAUAUGUCUAAAAUUACGUGAGCAUUUAUGUGACGUGAUUCUCGAUGUGUUUUAACGACAUUGAGAAUUUUCUAUAUAUAUUAAAAGCGGUUAAUCAUUUAAAAUUGCAUUAUAGGUUUGAACAUGUAUAACAAAUCAGAUAUUUAGCCGCUUAUAAUAGUUUAAGCGACCGUGCUAGAACCACUGGAUCCGAGGGUGACUAACACCUUCCCUUGGGUCAACAGACUUCCUUACUCAAUAAUUUCUGGUUCGCAGACUCCAAUGGGGCAGUGGAAAAUUUCCUCGAUUUGGGAUUCCAAAUAAACCGGUGACUUGGGACACCAAAAGCCAAACCUAUNNNNNNNNNNNNNNNNNNNNNNNNNNNNNNNNNNNNNNNNNNNNNNNNNNNNNNNNNNNNNNNNNNNNNNNNNNNNNNNNNNNNNNNNNNNNNNNNNNNNNNNNNNNNNNNNNNNNNNNNNNNNNNNNNNNNNNNNNNNNNAACGACUCUUGAAUAAAUAAUUAAUCCCAUUUCGAAUAAUGUCACUUUAAUUGGAAAAACUCCAUUAUACGUUUUAUCCUUCGGGGUAUCCGUGUAACAAAAAGGGAGGUGUGACAACUGCUACUGGAGUAAAAUGUGCCGACUUCGUCAACAUGUCCACAAUGACCCACACCGCUUAAAACUUCUUCUGAGUCUGUGGUAGCCCAACAACCAAAUCCAUGGUAAUACACUUCCACUUCCACUCAGGAAUAUCCAACCUCUGAAGCAAACCACCAGGUCUCUGAUGCUCGUACUUUACUUGCUGAAAAUUUAGACCCCGAGCUACAUAUGCAACUUUAUCCUUCUUCAUUCUCCUCCACCAAUAAUGCCACUACAAGUCUUGAUACAUCUUGGCGGCACCCGGAUGAAUGGAAUGCUGGGAACUAUGAGCCUCCUCAAGAAUUAAGUCAUUAAGCACAUCCAUAUUGGGGACACAUAUCCGACCCUGCAUCCACAAAACCCCAUCAUCUCCAAUAUUACCCUGCUUGGAACCAUUGUGCCGCACCAUGUCCUUGAGGACAAGCAAAUGGGGGUUGUCAUACUGAUUCUCUCUUAUGCGCUCAUACAAAGAAGAUUGAUAGACCGUACAAGCUAGAACACAACUCGGCGCCGAAAUAUUUAACCUCACGAACUGAUUAGCCAAAGCCUGAACAUCUGAUGCUAGUAGUCUCUCAUCAACUGGAAUAUACGCAAGGCUAUCCAUACUCGCAGCCUUUCUACUCAAGGCAUCGACCACCACAUUGGCCUUCCCAGGGCGAUACAAAAUUAUGAUAUCAUAGUCUUUCAAUAGCUCCAAUUACCUUCUUUGCCUCAAGUUGAGAUCAUUCUACUUGAACAAAUACUAUAGACUUUAGUGCAUGAACAAUGACUGCCAACUCUAGGUCAUGAACAGGAUAAUUAUUCUCAUGAACCGCCAACUUUCAUGACGCAUAUGCAAUCACCCUACCAUUCUGCAUCGAUAUUGCAUCAAGCCCUGGUACGCGAUGCAUCAUAAUACACUGUAUAGGAUCCUGAACCUGUGGGCAACACCAAUACUGGCGUCGUAGUCAAAGCAGUCUUGAGAUCCUGAAAGCUCAACUCACACUCAUUGGAACACCUGAACGAAGAACCCUUCUGGGUAAAUCUAGUAAAUGGGACUGCCAUGGAUGAAAACUCUUCCACGAACCGGUGUUAAUAACUCUCCAAACUAUAUGAAACUCUGAAUUUUUGUAGCUGAAGUAGGUCUAGGAAAGUUAUGAACUGCCUCAAUGUUCUUAGAAUCCACUUUUAUUCCCUCAGUCGAUAAAACAAGCCCCAAAAAGCGAUCGAGUCUAACCCAAACUCGCACUUUCAAACUUGAUAUAUAGCUGACUAUCUCUCAGAGUCUGAAGUACAACUCUAAGAUGUUGCUCAUGCUCCUCUCGACUUGGGGAGUAGAUCAAGAUAUCAUCAAUGAAUACGAUCACAAAAUAAUCCAAAUAGGGAUUAAAUACUUGGUUCAUCAAAUCCAUAAAUGUUAUUAGGGCAUUUGUCAACCCAAAUGACAUCACUAAGAACGCAUAAUGCCCAUACCGAACCUGAAAAGCUAUCUUAGGGACAUUCGAUACCCUGAUCUUCAACUGAUGGUAGCCAGACCUCAAAUCAAUCUUUGAAAAUACCUUGGCAUUCUGAAGCUGAUCAAAUAAGUCAUCAAUCCUCGGCAACAAAUACUUGUUCUUGAUAGUGUCUUUAUUCAACUGUUGAUAGUCUAUGCACAUCCUCAUCGAACAAUAUUUCUUCUUCGCAAAAAACAUGGGUGCACCCCAAGGCGAGAUACUAGGUCUAAUGAUUCCUUUAUUAAGCAAUUCUUGUAGUUGCUCCUUUAGUUCCUUCAACUCGGCGGGGCCAUACGGUAUGGUGGGAUAAAAAUGGGCUGAGUGCCCGGAGCCAAAUGAAUACAGAAGUUAAUAUCUCUAUAUGGUGGCAUCCCUAACAGAUCUGUAGGAAACACAUCUAGCAACGCAUGCACAACAAGUACUAAAUCCAUGGAAGGAACCUCUGCACUAGAAUCACGAAUAUAGGAAAAAAAAGCUAGACAUCCCUUCUUGAACAUACACUGAGACUUCACAUAAGAAAUAAUCCUACUGGUGGAAUAUCUAAGAGUCCUCCUCUACUCUAAUCGAGGCAACCCUGGCAUGGCUAAGGUCAUCCAAUAAAAUAUGAUAAGGUGACAGCCAAUCUAUGCCCAAGAUAACAUCAAGUCUACUAAAUCAAGAAAUAGGAGAUCUACACUAGUAACAGUAAUCACACACGAGCGAUAGAUGCGGUAUACAACAAUAGAAUCUCCAUAGGCGUCGACACAUACACAGGAGCAAAAGUAGAGUCAGGAUCAAAUAAAACUAAAGCAUCUCUAUGGAAAACUGGAACAAUACCUAUAAUAAUGACAUCAGAUGAAUCGGCCUCAGGUCUAGCAAGGAAUGCAUAAAAUCGGGGCUAGGCCUGACCACCCUUACCUUUGUCUCUUGGAUGGCCUCUAGCUGGCUCGCCUCCACCUCUAACAGUCUGACCUCCACCUCUAAUAGCCCGAAUCUACCUCUGGCUGCCUAAUCCCGGCCACUAGCUGGCUAAGAGGAUGGUGGAGCAACUAGUGCCCGAACCAUGUCACGAGAAAUCUGUUAUGGCAUGAUGCUCAAAACUCCCGAACAGAACCUCUUGAUGUGACCAGUACCCCCACACUCAAAGCACCCAUCUUGCUGUUGUGGUUACUGAAGCUGGAAGUGACCUGAACUAGCCGAAUAAUCACGGUGGUAGGUUUGGAUCGGAGGCGCAUUGAUAGGAGUUGAUGGCACACUUAGGCUGGCUGCCUAGAAGAGAUACAUAAGGACUGCGACUCCCCGAAGCAUUGUGGGAUGCGUGAAGCGCUGACUGAAAUGGCUUAGGAGGAUGGCUUCUACCAAAAGUACCAUUGUCUCUAGAUGAGGCACCACUGAAACUACUAGAAUGACGAGGCCUCUUAUCAGACACUGGGCCCCUCUCCUGGCCACGAACCAUCUCGAUCCGUCUAGCAAUAUCUACGGCUUUGUGGAAAGAAAUAUCAUCUCUAGUCUCCAUGGCCGUCUGUAGUUUGAUACUGAAAAUGAGCCCAUCAAUGAAUCUCAUAUCUCUCUCUCUCUCUCUCUCCCUCUUUGUCUCAAUAAGGAGUAAAAUAAUACCAUCGCGAGAUAGGUCCACAAAUCGAGUCUCAUACUGGGUAAUAGUCAUACUAUCCUGCUGAAGACGCUCAAAGUGCCUGCAGUAAUCCUCUCUCAGAGUGAAAGGAAUGAACUUCUCCAGAAAUAACUGUCAAACUGAUCCCAGGUAAGUGGGUGAACUAGUUGGUCUAGUCAACACAUAAUCCCUUCACCAUCUUGGCAGAACCGAUCAUCUAGAACAAUGCAAAAUCGACCCUGUUGGUCCCAGCUAUACAUAUGUUGCGCAAACACCUCGCGACAACGGUCCAAGUAAUCAUAUGGGUCCUUAGAAGAUGCACUGCUAAUAUAAACAGGAAAGAGUUUAGUAAACCUAUGCAGCCUCAACAAGGCCUCAGAAGGUAUAUCGGGCCUAUCACUGGCCUAUGCCGCAACAAUCGGCUGAACAACCCCAACUAGCUGGAUUGCUGGAGUUUGAUAUAGGAGCCACCUCCUCCAGGGUGUGAGUAGCGGGAGUCUAUGCUCCUCCCCCACCCCGAUAGACAGUUGGUUCCAUCGAAAAUGUAUCGAUCUGUGCCACUCUCCAUAAGUCCCACCAAGUAGACUAGAGCAUCUGAAAUACUGAAAUGGCUAUAAAACCCUCCGGGACCUGAGUUGGUUUGACGGCUACGGUCUAAGCUGGAACCUUCUUCUUAUGAUUAAUCUAAGGCUCCAAUGUGGGUGCUGCUACUCGAGCAAUAGGAUGAGCUCUGCCUCUGGCUCAACUUCGGCCUCAACCUCGACCUCUGCUCCUGGUAGUAGCUGCCACGUGGGGCUCCAACUCCUAUCCGAUUGUUGACGUUGUACAUAUUCUGGCAAUCUGCAAGAGAACAAGAAUAGAAUGGUUCAAUGAUCAAUGAUAGAAUAAAAUCAUAUGAUAGAGAAGGAAAGAAGUGAAAUUUUUCCUAAACUCCAUAUCCUCUAGAAGAAAAGUACAAAUGUCUCUGUACCAAUCCUCCAGACUCUACUAAGCUUUCUCAUGACUCGUGCGACCUAGCAACGUAGUGCUCUGAUACCAACUUAUCACGAUCCAGAAUUUCCACCCUUGGAAUCGUGAUGGCGCCUAACAUUUCACGUGCUGGGCAAAACCAAUGUUAGAUUUAAUUAUUAGCCAUUUUUAACAAACUCAAAUCAAAUGAAAAACCAAUAAGCUGAAUAAACUAAAUAAAGUAAAUAAAGAAAUAAAUGGUGAUAUCCAAAUAUAGUCUCAAAAUUGGUGUCAUGAAUACACGAGAGAUUAGAGUACUACAAAUAAUAGUUUGAAUAAAAGCAUAAGUGUCUCAAUCGAAAUAAACAUCUAAGGUAAUUUAGAAUAGGACUUCAGUGCUGUGAACGUUGUGCAGUUGUACCUCAAGUCUCCGUUAAGCACUAGAUUCGAGCAACCUACUAACCAUCGCUAGGACCAACUCCAAAAUCUGCACAAAAAGUGGAGAGCGUAGUAUGAUUACAACCGAGGUCAUGUACUUUGUAAGUGUCAAGCCUAAUCUCGAUGAAGUAGUGACGAGGCUAAGGCGGGUCAAUUACAAUAAUCUGUCUGCAGCAAUAAUAAUAUUAACUAUAAUAAUAAUAAUAAUAAUAAUAAUAAUAAUAAUAAUAAUAAUAAUAAUAAUAAUAAUAAUCAUUCUCAAAAAUCUUAAUACAGUUUAUUAAAUUCACAACAAAAUUUACUAUUUCAUAAUUUCAAAGUAUCAACAACAUAACCAAAAAGGUAAAAUUUAUUAUCUAAUAACUAGUGUAAUUUGUCGUCUAAUAACUGGCAUUAAAUAGUAAUAAUACUAUAUAUAAAUGACGCCAUUAAAGUUUCUCCAACUCUUGAUCAUGAUGAAAUCUCCACAUGCCAGACAUCUGAACAACUAUUUAAUCUCAGGUCAAGUGUUCAAAGAAUAGUUGUUUUCCUUCUCAUACUGUAUAUUUCCUCGCCAUUAGUCUCUUGAGCUUUAUAUCUUGCAUAAUGCAGUACCUUUAUAAGAAAAAAAUCAAAGCAAGAAAUAAGUACAACAACAGGGAAGGAAACAGAAAAUGGCAGUAAAGUAAUUAAUUUAUGAAAACGAGCUCAAUCCUUGCAAUCAGAGAACCAAGUAUAACCGAUCUCAUAAUUUCAUAUAACAAAGUUGGAAACCACAUAGUAACAACAACAAAUACACCAUACACAACAUGUUGUGGAACACAACCCGAUCCCCACCGUACACACCAAAUCCUCCCUUAUUCAACCAUAACAUCAUUUGUUAAUAUCAAAAAUCAUAUUUAAAAUUCUUUGCGGAGAGCAACCCGAUCCGACCGUAUCAUUAAAAUCAAUAUCAUAAUUAUUCCUUAUUUUACCGUGUCAUAAUUUAUCAAUAACAAGUAUUAUGUACUCAACCGUCGCGGCGCGCAAUCCGAUCUUACCAUAUCAUCAUAAUGAAUAUAAAAAUUCUCUCUUAUUCUACCAUAUCACAACCAAUGCGGCGUGCAACCCAAUUCAUAAAUAAUUUCAAUAAAUGUAAUCAACCCAAUAGCUCAAUUACAAGAAUCUCUACAAUUAAAGAAUACGAAAGUAAAGCAAUAAAGGAACUACGUACUAAUCAAAGGAGUGUUACAAAUAAUACAAAAGCAACAAGACAAGUCAAGUACGCGACAAUUAAGGUUUGCAAGUAAGACAAUUAAGGCAAGAAGCAAUUAACCACGGAGUCAUGAAAGGAACGAACAAUUCAAUACAAGAAUAAUUAAUGACAAUUAACAAAUUACGGCAUAGAAAGCAGUUAAAGCAUGUAACAGUUAAGGCAUGGAAUAAGAUAAUUUAUGAAAUACGAGAAAGCAUGGAAGCCAUUAUUUUCACGGUGUAUAUACACUCGUCGCCUCAAUUAUACGUCGUUACACACAUAAUUCAUGUAAGAUAUAGUUCAAGGAUUUCGAAUUCCCUCAGAUCAAGGUUAGACCCAAUAGUUACCUCGCUCCACAACCAAAUUAAAGUUCAACCGGGUCUUUCCUCUAAACUUUUCCUGCAAAUCAAUUAAAUUUAAUCAAAAUCGACUUAAUAUCAUUAAAUAAUGCUAGGGAAAUUAAUUACAAUAGAUAAAGCUAAGAUCUUUACACUUUUUUCAAAAAGUCAACAAAAUUCAAUCAGGGGAUACGCCCAGUCAAAACUCGGGUCCAAUGGUAGAUUUCGACUAUCCAUGACCCUGCGAGUUCAUAUAUUUGGUUAGUUUCAAGAUUGGAGUCCAAAACAACUCUAAAAACUCAAUUUCUUAUUUUCAAAAACUUGACAAAGUUUCACAAAUUUUUACUUGUAUUCACAUGAUUUUGAUGUUAAAAUCUAAGAUAAAUUGGUAAAAUAGGAUUAGAAAUGGAUUAGAAUCACUCUCCAAAGUUUGUAAAUUAAAAUUCCCUCUUCAAAAUCGCCUUCAACCGAACCUAGGAUUCCAUUAUAUGAAAAUGAGACUAAAAUCCCAUCCCUCAGCUUUUUGUUCCUUUACAGAUGUCACAAGUGCGACCUGGAUUCGCAUAUGCAAAGAAGUCAUCGCAAAAAGUGAACUCCCCACAUCUCUGGUGUCAUCGCAGUUGCGACGACUAGUUCGCAAAUACGAAUAUUGGAACUUCACAAAAUCGAUCAUAUGAUCGCAAAUGCGAUCUAUGCUGAUCUCAUACCACCUUCGCAACUGCGAAAAAAAUGUUCGCAAAUGCGACCAUAACAAACUAGGCCCAAAUAUAGCAAAUGCGACUUCCAAUCUCGCAUUUCCAAGACCUAUAAUACCAGAAUGCAUUAGCAACACCAAAACUUUCCCAAACACUUUGAAACGCGUCCGAAACUCACCCGAGCCCUCGGUACUCUAAACUAAUAUCAAUACAAGUCUAAAAACAUCAUACGAACUCGCUUACACGAUUAAAACACCAAAAUAACACCUAGAAUUACGAAUCCGGCACCAAAAUGUAUGGCGUUUUCAAAGAAACUCAAGAACAUGAUAAUUUACAGUUGAGCGUCCGAAUCACAUUAAAUCAACUGCGUUUUGCAGUCAAGUCAUAAAUAGUGACAUGAAACUAUUCCAAGUUCUAGAAUUGAAAUCUGAACCCGGUAGCAACAAAGUCAACUUAGGUCAAACUUAGGAAUUCUUUAAGCUUCAAAUUACUAGUUUUCAACAAAUCACGUUAAAUCAAGUUAGGGACUUUUAAAUUUGAUUUUGGACAUACAUCCAAGCCCCAAAUCACGAUAUGGAUCCAUCUGACCCGUCAAAAUACAAAUACGAGCCUGUUACACAAAAUGGUGACCGUAGUCAUCUCAAAUUACUUUUAAGGAAAAAUUUCAUGUUUUCUUAAAUUUUUUCCACAUAAAAAUUUUCCGAAAAAAAUUCGGUUGUACACGUAAAUCGAAAAACACUAAAGGGAGCUAGUUGAGAUUUCGAAACACAAAAAUAAACGCUAAAACUUAAAAUGACAUAUUGGGUAACUUCUCUUAAAAGUAGCUUUUUAUUUAUAAGUUGUUUAUUAAAUAAGUUUCUUAUAAACGCUCUCGAUUCUCUUUUCCCUUUAGUUCUUUGCUUACAUUUAUUAGUAGAAUUUCUUUUAUUGUCCUUUUUAUAUUUGUUUGAUUCAUAAAACUAUAGAUCUAUUAUAAGUGUUUUGUUCGGUUAAGUUAAGUAUUGUGCAGUUUCAUGUAAACAUUUUGGUGAAUCCAUUCAUCGAAAAUAAUAUUAACUUCUAUAAGAUACUUGGCUAUCUUAUUCGUGGUCGCUGCCUUACCUUAUUCCUUUCACGUAGUCAUAUGACGUUUGUGCUGGGGCAAGAACAUACCUUAAUUUUACACCAUCUAAAACUACCCACAUUAAUCAUUUCACAUACAAACUUGUUUUAUUGAAUUACGUGAAGAUAUGUGCUUCUAGAUAUAUUAAGCUCCACAUAUUUUUGUACAAUAAAGGAAGAUCGAUUCCAUACAAGAUGAGAUGAGUAAGUAAAAGCUUUUAUAAGAGACGUUUUUCUCUAUUUAUUUUAGAAUUACAAUAAUUUCAUGAAUUUUAGUGAAAAGAUGGCGAACCACCAAUAUGAACUAGGCCCAUCUCAUUUUCCAGAUCUUUUAGCGAUUCCAGGUGGUGAUUUAAGCAUUGAAUCAUGUAGAGGGUGAUUACUUGUUGUAGAGACAUCACGUUAUACCAUUUGAGCUAAUUAGUUGAGAUAGUUAACGAGCCAGAUGUUCCUCUCAACGUGAGAAGUUUGGUGUCAAACUAUGAUCACUGGAAUUACUUUCUGCUAGUAUAACAUUGCAUCAUAAACAUAAAGUAAUAAAUGGAGUUCUUACUGCUGUUAAUGGAGUUACUUGUAUCUAAGAAACUUCAAAUAUCGACUUUUUAAAAGCUUCCAAAGAAUAAAAGUAGUAAACUAAACCACUUUGUUGCAGGGCGAAAAUUCAGAGUAUGAGAAUAAAGUGGGCAUGAUCCUUCUUCAGAAAUAUUGAAAAAAGAACAGACAGAAACAAAAGAUAUAUAGCAUCAAAUCUUUCUUUGUAUAAUGGAAUGUUCGACAUAAUGAAGAACAUGUUCUGUACUAAUUUUGAGAUGGUUUUACAUUUAAAUAGAGAAAAGUUUGAAUCAGAAACCAUUAUAAAAGGGGUCCCUGCAAAUCUCUAAGCUCCAACGUUAAACCAAAGAAAAUUUUAGAAACCUAAAUUUGAAGAGAAAAAUUCUUAAAUCAAGAAAACUAGAAGAAAAUGGGUGGUAACUACUCAUCUACUUUGCAUGAAGCUAAUAAUAUGCCAACCACAGUACCACAAGUCAAGAGGUCUCAAGUCAUUGCUUUCCAUUCUUCAUCAAAAUGGAAGCUCCAUUUUGAUUCUUUGAAAGAUACAAACAAACUGGUAACCAUUUUGCUCGAACUUUAUGCUAUUUCUCUAAUGAGAUAUUUUGUAUGGAUUUAAUUAUAAACUGGUAACCAUUUUAGAAAUAUUGCAUAAGUAUGGAUUUAACUUAAAUAUACAGACUCUGUAGAAGUUUUACGUGCGUAUUUUAACCUGUUGUAGUAGGUAAUCUGUCGUAUUUUCUAGAUUACUAAUCUCAUUUUUGUCCACUUUAAUAUCUAAUUAUUUUGUAAGUGACUCGAUAGUAUAAAAAUUAUGCUUGCACUGCUAGCGUAUAAAAGUUAAACUCAUUUUGUAUUUGGAUGUUUUGCCCUAUUGCUAGGUUGUUGUUGACUUUACAGCAACAUGGUGUGGUCCUUGCAAAUAUAUGGAACCAGUUAUGAAUGAUUUUGCUGCUAAAUAUAUAGAUGUUGAAUUUGUCAAGAUUGAUGUUGAUGAAUUGGAUGUAAGAUCUUAUAUAUGUUCUUAACUUUACGAUCCUUUUCUUUUCCCCCCUGUCAUUUGAUACAUAAAUGGAUACUAAUUUCUCAAAUCUUGAAUGAACUGAAAACAGAAAGUAGCUGAGGAAUAUGGGGUUCAAGCAAUGCCAACAUUUGUGCUGAUUAAAAAGGGCAAGGUUGUUGACAAAGUUGUGGGAGCAGAUAAGGAUGGACUAAAGACAAAAAUUGAGAAACACAGAGCUAUGUUUAUCUAAGCAAACAAGGGAAAGUUGUUGACAAGGUUGUGGGAGCAGAUAAAGAUGGACUAAAGGAGAAAAUUGAGAAACACAGAGCUAUUUUUACACAUAUAUUUUGAGCAGAGUUUACUGGAAUCAUACCCUCUGUGUAUGUAGAAUUGAAAAAGUAGCUAUGUAUCCUCAAAUUUAUGCUCACUUCUGAUUGUAAACUUCAAACUAAAAAGGCAAAUAUAAGCAUGUUGGUAUAUUGGUAUGAAUAAAUAAAU